AUUGUGCGGGUGGUCCACCACGUGAGAUUUUAUUUGGAGUAUAGGAUGGAUUUUGUGGUAUGUAAGGCGGUGUUUCUUCAGAAUGAUGGGGAUAUGGAGGUUGGGUUUGCAUUGAGGGAGCAGGUGGUCCACUACGUGGGAUUUGAUUUGGGGUAUAGGAUGGAUUUUGUGGUACGUAAGGCGGUGUUUCUUCAGAAUGAUGGGGAUAUGGAGGUUGGGCUUGCAUUGAGGGAGCAGGUGGUCGGAAAUGCAGAACUUGUGACGGUGGUGGAUACUGUUGCUCUGGUGGUUGAAUUGGUGACUGGAAUUGAUAAUGAGCAUUCUCCUGCAUUUGAUUUUGUUGUGACAAAGGCUGAUGCUGAGGUGGUUGUGGUGGAAGCAGAGUAGAUGAACUGGGAAUUGGAGUUGCAGAGUAGGAUGAAGGAUGCUGUGUUUGUUGUUGAGGGAGGACCGGAGGAGGUAGGGAUUGUUGUUGAAUUUGUACUGAUGGCUGUUGCUGAGGCAGUGGUGGUGGUGCUGAUAAAUUGGGAAGUGAAGCACCAGAAUAAGAUGGAUGUUGGGUUUGCUGUUGAGGAACGACAUGUGGCUGGGGUUGUGUUUGAACCUGUGGCUCGGAAUGUGUACUGUUUGAAGCUUGGCGAUCUGCAUUAGAUGUUUGCAGCUUCACAAGUUGUAGCUGAAGUUGAGAAUCAGAAAUUUCUUGCUUAUCACGCAUAUCACGGACAUCAUUUUGUACCUAGCAAAACGUUCAAGAAGGUAUUUAUGUUAAAUGAGAAUUUCAACCCUAGAACAAGAAGUUCAGAGUGAAAUAAAGUGUCAGACAACACAACAAAUGUUAUUUACCUACGUGAUCUUUGAUGCAAAUAUAGUAAAAAUAAUGAAUUCAUAAUAUUUUGAAAUUUGGGGUUACAUUAGAAUGAUCAUUUAAUUUAUAUCAAACAUUAUUUUUACAUUUAUUUUUUAAUCAGAUUAGAUUUGCAUUUUAAAAUUCCAUUUACUUUUCUUUUUUAUGCAAGUUCUGGCUCGAAAGCUCAUGCUCAGUUUGAUAAGCUUUAGCUCGCAAGCUUAAAGAACAAAUUUAUUUUUUAAUAAGCUUUAGCUUACAAGUUCUAAGAUCUCGAGCAAUCAGCAUGUAAAAUCAAAUAUUUAUAUAUGCAGUUUUGACUUAAGUCACAAGAAGAAAUGUAUCUAGAAACUUAAGUUUGAAUCCCAUUUAUUUCUCAUCAACUUAAAAACGAAAACAACUCAUCAUGCCCACAAGCUCGAAACUACUAAAAUAAUAAAUAUGAACUUUCUUUCGAACAGAAAUAAAUUAAAAGAUACAAGAACCAUGGUGUUAAGAGAUGUUUUUUCAUGAAGUUAAAAUUCUAUAGAUAUACAAGGGGCUCAGUCCAUGUACAAUGAUUAGGGAGAUAAGCAAACGCUUAUUGUCACCUUCCUUAUAUAGCUGCCAGAACUAUUGAAUAGCUUGCAGCUGGUGCUUCAAGGAAUGAGCAACAUGCUUGAAUACACCACAAUUACAACAUAUUAUCUUUGUUGAUAAUAAAUCCCUGACCUAACUUGUAUCACACAUUCACACAAUGAAGCUCUAAUUCAAUACACAUAUACUACUACUCGAUAACUGUUUGUGACUUAAAAAUAAAUCAAAUGUAAGUAUAUUGAAUAUUCGAAUCAAGAUAUAUUUUAAAAUUUAAACCAUUCCUAAAUCCAAAUAUAGUAAUAGUAGUGUCAGCCAUCAAACAAUAAAAGAAACAAGUGAAGCAUUUUAAAAUAUUGAUAAAUUGAUUUAGUAGAAUAGUGAAUGGUACCUACCUCUCUGAGAAUAUUUUCCAGUUGCCUGAGCUUCCCAUCAGUAGCACCAGCAUUAUUCGCAAAUGACUUCUUCAAUUCAUUCACAGAAGUUUCAAGAUAGCAAGUUCUAUCCUCAAAAUCCGAGAAUCUAGAGUCCAUUUUCUUCAGUACAGAAAGAAUACUACCAAAAUAGCUCUUAAUAAUCCUGUCAACAUCAGCAGAAGUUGCCGCACCCAUUUCCAGUGAAUCCCUCAUUCUUUCUGAAUGAUUAAUUCUCGAAGAAUCCAAGAUAUCAUAAUUCUGCAAAGAUCAGAACAUAACCUAUUUCCUCUUUAAAAAAAGAUAUCACAGAUAAAGAACAAACAAAAAAGUUAGAAAAUAUACUAAAAUAAAAACCUUUGUGUCGGUGGAAUUCCAACCACCCGUACUUGCAGAACCAAUAUUAUCGAAACUCUGAUUCCUCUGCGGUAAAGAAUUACCGAUCUCGUUUCUCAUCGCGUGAAAAUCAUAGCUAGAUGAAAAACCAACCAGUGGAGGUUCGCUCCGACCAUCACCACGACCGUCGUCGUCGUAGAGACCAAUCAGUGGAGGUUCACCCCGACCUCCCGAGAUUCCCAUCGCAUGAUGGUCGUCUUUGAUCUGCGACGUAUUCAUCACCGAUCGACCAAAUCUACAGACGAAAUCGAAAAUUUCUUCCUUUAUCUUUUCCCCCAAAUCGAAGAGUGACGACUGACGAUGACUACGGAUUUUUUUUUCAAUAAGAGAGAAGUGGUGUGCUAUAUUGGUCUGAAUUACUUAGCUUAUAAGUUACAAAUCAUCGUAAUUAUUAACUAUUCAGAGGGCUGAUUUGCAAUUUACUAAUUAGGAAAAGAAAAGAACGAAAAACCCUAAAUACCCUAAUUUGCUCCAGCUCUUCUCCUUCCUUUCCGGUUUGCCGCUUGUACGGAAAUCGGGAAUCAACGCUGGUCCGAUAAGGUUUUUUCUUCUUCUAUUCAUCUGUUGAUUUUUUAUUAUCCCCCUCCUUCCGACAAGAUCUGAAGUGAUCUAAAGUAGAUUGGUCUUGAAAGUAAUUUUGUUAGGCAUAAAAGUUUGUUUGCCCAUUAGGUUUAUACUAUUCUUGAACAGAGCUUGUUAACGCAAUUCUGAUCAAUUACUGUCAAUCCGUUACUGAAAUUGUGGCAUAUACAGACUACAGACAUCCAAAAGACUACUCUAAAUCCCCAAUUGAAGCAUUCAUACUAAUCGACUCGAUUGCAAAUAUCAAUAAGCGAGCAAUUCACUUAGCUUAGUUAUAAAUACCCUAGAUGCCCUUAUACUAUUUUCAAACGUUUAGUUGAAAUAUACUGUUUUUUUUACUUUGUUUACAUUACGCAGUGUGAACCUCUGAAACAAGUAUUGAAAAUCCAUCAACUAUGCUUCUACAACAUGUAUAUCAUAAUGGUUAUCGCCUUAUGGGAUUUGUAAAUCACCAUUCACCAACUGAAAUACUGAAGCAUUGUUAGUAAUAUCAGCAGCUCUAGAUCAACAGAUUGAAUAUGUUGACUCCUCUUCUGUGAUUCAUUUUCCCUACUCAUAUUCUGCGCAAUAUUAAAGGUCCCAUGUCUCCCAUCUACCGCCCUGUUGUAAUUUUUUUUGAUGAAGUUAAAAUUUCAUUAGAAAUGAAAUGGGUCUUGUCCAGUUUUAUAUAUAUACAGAAAAGAUAAACCCCUUAUUCCCUUAAUAAGCAGCACUACUCAAAGAGUCAAAGUAGGCAAGAUCCUCUAGGGGUACCAUAAGAAUCAAAAACAUAGUAAAACAUGACAAUAUAACAGACCCGAACAUAGAAACAGUGAAGCCAGGAAACAAUAAAGCUAACACCUCCAUUGUCCAAUAGCAGAAGCUUCAAGAGUACCCAGACCAGGAGGCUGGUGAGGUGAUGUAACUAGAAACUAAUCAGCUUCUAGUUGAGGUGAGGCUUUAAGUAUGUCAGUUUUUCAAAAAGAAACUAGAAGUGAGGUGAUGAAAUCCAUUGAUAGCUCUUCCUGACAUUAUUGAAUAUCGGAAACAGUUGCAACGGUCUGGUUGGUUUGUUACGUAACACAGCUUCACACCAACUCUUUAGGUGCAAAUAUGCAAUUGCCAUUUUCCCUUGAGUAGCUUCCGGCUGGUGAAUUAUGCUCUUUGAAAAACAGAAACCGAUGGAUAGAGAUGUUAUUUGUAAUCAGUAUACAAUUCUUUUUUAAGAUAAAAUCACAUCUUAUGCUGAGAUUGGGUUUCGAAUCAGGAAUUCUAUCUCUGAAGCAUGUUCUUACUGUCAAAUUGACCCAUUCCGAUCUACCGAAGUUAGUGUAUAAAAGAAGCUACUUAUAUUCUCCUUCUGUUUCUAUAUAAAGUAUGCAACGCUAUUAGUCUAUACAAUAUAAGCAUAAAGAUAACCUCCAUCAUUGUCACUGAUACAGUCGUGGACCCUCGUGGUAUCAUUGUAGCACUAUUCCAUUUCCAGGCUUCUCUAUUUGGCCAUAGCUCUGGUUUCAAAGUUGAUGUGCACAUCCCUAAGGAUAUCCUUCAGGCUUCAACACCUCCUCUUGACGUUUAAUUUUGUGGAAUCAACCACGUUGGUCAUAUGGUAGUCUAUACUCUAUAAUUCCAUUUUUAAACCCUAAAUGCCAAAGAAAUUGUGAAAAUUAUUCAGUGUAUUUAAUUAUUUUUUAAUAUGCUUUAUAUUCUAUGAAUUGUGUUUUGUAAUUUCAUAUUUUAUAUGCAUUAUGCUUAAUUAAUUAAUUUUUGAUAAUUUACUAAUACGAAUACAUUUUUAAAUUUUGUAGAUUUUCUGCUGAAUGGGUCAGCCUUCUGUUUCUCUCUUGGACAAGCUUGUUGCUAGUCUCCAUGCAACUAGCAAGUGUGAAAAUAAUAGUUUAUUUAUUUAUUUUCCUUGUUUUUUUAUAAAAUUAAAUUGUUAAUAUUCUAUUGAUAAUUGGAAGUGGGCCUAACCUCCAGAUACAUAAGACUAUGGGGGAAAUAAAGUAGGUUAUUGUAUCAGUAGAGCAUUAAAUGGCUACUGAUUGAUGCUUCAAGAAUUUUUGAUUGGAUUUUCUUUCUCACAUACUUUUUUCUGAACAAACCGACAUUAGAAUAAAUGCUGAUAUUUUUUUAUAACUUAUUAAAAAAUGCUGUUUCCCCUCAUUAUUUUAAUAAACAAUUUUAUCUGCUUCAAAGAAAAAUAUCUUGGUUCAUAUAAGUUUCAUCAAAAAAUAUUUAAAUAUUUUCUGAAUGUGAAACCCUCAUGAUCCUAAUUGUUUAAUAUAGUAAUCUUAAGCUAUAUAGUAUAUAUAUUAUGAAAAAUGUGAAUAAACUAAAUAUACGUCUAAUAUAUUAUCAUUACAUUCAUGAGAAAUUACCAGCAUAGGGUUUGCAAUAUUUAUUUUUAAGAAAUAUAAUCAUGAAUUCAUAAUGAUUGUUAGAAAUGGUUUAUGAUGGGUUAGGUACUAUACUGGUCAUCCAAAGGAUAUUGGACCUUCUCGUAUUGUUGAUUUUACUUCUGAACGACAUUUUGUUCAACUCUUGCAUGAAGGUCAUCCCAUCGUUGUGGCUUUCACAGUCAGGUGAUGAUUUUUUCAUCCAAUUCAGAUACUAGAUACUACUGUCUGUAUAUUUUAUCUGUUUUGUGUUCAUUGAUAUGUUAUUUUUGUAGAUGUCCUCUAACUAAACAUUUUGAUAAAGUAUUGGAAGAAGCUGCUUCUGAGUUUUAUCCACAUAUUAAAUUCAUGCGUGUAAGUAUUAUUGAGUAAGACUUUCUAGACAUUAAGAGAUUAAUAUAUUGGAUUUUGCAAUUUUGGUACAUCUAACAGACCAAGCUUUUCUAUGCGGCCUCUUAAUCCCGCUUAUGCGGCGUUUAAGCUGUUAUGCUGUUUCAUAACAUCUGCAUAAAAUAAGUUAUGCGGUAUGCGGAUUUUAGUUGGUACUUUUUUGAGAAUCAGAACUCAUUACUCAUUUAUUUUGGAAUUAGAGGUGUAUAAUUCUAAUUAAGUAUUUAAAAUAUUUAUUUUGUAUUACAUAUCUAUGAUGUAUAAUAAUAUUUUAAAAAAAACAAAAAAAAUAACCCACAUAAUUCUUAUUAAGCUAUAGCUUAAGCUAACAUAUGCGUGUAUGUGGAAAUGCCAAUCACAUAACUGCAUACACAGACAGGAAACUUUGUAACAGACUAAAGAGAGUUUUCAGAAUUUAACAUAGAUAUUUAUCCGUGUUCCAUAAUUUUUUUGGGCCGUUUAUUAGUUUUAUAGGACAUCUAUUUCAUAGUUUGGGAUGCGCGCGGAUGCGCCUUGGAAAGGAGAUGCGGCAGGCGUAUCUCCCUUAGCAUGUGAUUUUUUUUAUCUGUUUUAUCUUCCUUCAUCUCAUUUCAGAGUUCAGAUAUCUCAUUUCAGAGAUUAGGGUUGUGUUUUUUUAAUUAAUUUGUUAUUUUUUAGGGUUUCGAAAUGGCUGAAUUUAAUGAAAACAAUGAGGGUGAACUCCAACCUGAACCUGUAGAUGUAAAUUAUUUGUUCUAUAAACAGCUAAAGAGGACACAGGAUUACCUAUAGAUCGUAUUAUGUAUUUCAAGUUUGAACUAGUCUAUGUGUUUUGAACUACUUUAACUAUUUUGAUAUAUUUUAUAAAGUAGAUAUAUUUUAGGUAUAUGAAAAAUAUAUGAAAAACCUUUAUUUUUAUAUAUAUUUAUGAAAAUGCCACUGGCGCCUUUGCUCAAGUGCGCAAAAGCUCAAGUGCUCCAGGUGGUGGCGCAUCCCGAACCUUGAUCUAUUUUACAAAAAUAACUGUUCCCUAUUCUCACAAUCCCACCUACAUUUCAACUAUGAAUUUACAAGGAAUCUGCUAAUCACCUUCACAGAAACACUAGGAUUCUACCAUUUGGAGGAAUGAAGAUACAGAACAGAGUACAACCUGUACCAGACUGCACUGAGGACAUCAGAUCUUGGGACAUUUUAGAUGCUGUUCAGAAUUUAAUCAAUUUAUAAUGAAUAAGGGAUGCUGGCAUCUUCCUUCAAUGCUACAUCCUACUAAAACCUCAUUGUAUUUUUUCAUUGCCUUCCAUUGGUUGAUCCCUUCUAUAAUAUAAGCUAUUUCUGACUUCUAGUAUAAGACCUUAAGUGUUUGUUGCACAUAUGAUGGGUGAAAGAUUAUUAGAGUUCGAGAUACUUGUGUAGGCUCCAGAGGAGUGAGUUAUAUGUAUAUCUUCCCAUGUCAUUCUGAACAGAGUGGUCGCAUGAUUGCAUCUGAAGAAAAUGAUUAUUAAAUGUAUACUUGCACAAUCACACUUAUAUUUUUGAUUCACUAUAUACUUUCCAUAAGUACAUGGAUAUUAACGUGACCUCGCAUUCUUCAUCUGCAUUUUAGGUUGAAUGUCCUAAAUAUCCAGGUUUUUGCAUUGCCAGACAGAAUAAAGAAUAUCCAUUCAUUGAAAUAUUUCAUAGCCCACAACAAGUUUGGUUUAUCACUCACUUCUUCCUUCAUUAAUUAUAUCAUCUUAUCUUAUUAUCAGUUUCAAAACGCUCUCCUUUCUUUCGUUAUAUUGUCAUUGCAGACAGAUAGCCAAGGAAGAAUGGUUGAUCCAAACAUAACAAAGUAUUCUGUGAAGGUUUUGCCAGUAAGUUAACUUUAUUUCUUCCAUUAAACAUACUGCAUAUAUAGAAUAUUAGAAAUUUGAAAAAAUAUAGAUUAUGGCGUUUGGUUUUCUUUUUGUUGUAAUUUUUUCUUUCAGUUUACAUAUGAUGUAAGUGCGUACGGAUUCAGAGAAUUUUUCAAGCGCCAUAAAAUUCAUGCUUUUGAUUUGAAAAAAUGAGUUAUAAAGCAGGAAGGAAGGAAGGAUUCAAGUGGAAAAGAACUGCCAUGUUUUACAUCAUCACUUGUAUUUUUGUGUUCCCUUCGGAACUGUAGCAACGACCGAUAUGGCAUGAGGCUGUGCAAGUACAUGCUACCACAGCACCUUUUUUAACUUGCAAAUACAUAGCCAAUAUUCUUGAAAACAUUUAUGAUACUGGUAUGUCUAACAAUAUUUUGAAAUUAAUUUCAAUUUCAAUUUCAAUUUUAAAUUUGAAUAAUUAUCUAUUUUAAUCUGAUUCAAGAAAACUGAAAAAUUCUGAGUAAAGUAGAUCGGCUCAGGGUUCAAAGUAGGUCUACUUAAGCAGAAAUCAGGUAGGUUAAUCAGGUGAAAAUGUGAGAUUCCCUCAACAAAAAAAAAAAUCCAUCAUCAUAAACCUUCCUUACUCUAAAAAAUACCUAAAUUGUUCCAUUGAUAGCCCCUAAAUUUCAAUAAGAACCAAACAAGGAAGAAAAUGAAUAACUACGAAUUUAUCUUUCGAAAGAGGAGGGAACAUUGCAAGUUGGCUACAAGAGUAAGUAGCAAUGAGUGCAUUUUUUUUAAUACUCUCAUAUAAAAAGAAUCAAUUUUUAGUGAUAACAAUGCAGAUCCUGUUCCGAUCUCUAAAGUUUGGGGCCUGAUAUGUUUAGUGAUAACACCUUUUAUAGGUUGGAAAACUUGGGAGUUUCUCCUUUUAAUGCUGCAUGAUAACACACAAAUAAUUGACUUAUGAUUUCACAUGGAUGAUAUCAUGAUAGAUAAUAGAUUUGUAAAAAAAAACAAAUCAUGUGAUAUGCAAGGAGACAAUGGUGGAAAAUGGAAAUCAAGAGCUACAGUACGUCCACACUCUCAGUACAUGAUCUAUCCAUGUGAACUUGUAGAAACAAAAUAAAAAAGCUCAUGUUUCAUCUAAAGCAUUCAGGACUUAAACACUAAAGAAAUAAUUGAUUAUUUGGUUCUGUAAUCUGAGAUUCUGUUUAUGAAUAUUGCAAUAGACAUUAAAUUCACAUAUUAUAGUCUAUAGAAGCAAAUGCUGAAGCAGCAACUACCGAUCCUGAUAGCCUGAUUUAUAUAUAAACGCUGAAUAUCAUUAUCCUAACUAUACAGUGGAAGAAAUGGGGUUUUACAUAUGAAAAAAGUAAUCAUGUAGAUUACAUAUGAAGGAACUUCUCUCAUCUAAUAAUAUUAUAUGCAUGAUAUGAUAUAGACAUAUAUUUGGCUUCUACUUUACAAUUCUUUCCGUCUGCUGCUUUCUUCUAUUCAACUUAUAAAAAGAAAUAUUUGAAGAUGGAAAUAAGUCAUUUGAUCUUCUGCUUCUGCUAGAUUUUGGUACAAGUAUAAAAUGGCCAGUGGUCACUACAUCUCUAAAGCAGACUGCAAUGAUAGAUCAAAUUAGGAAAUCUAUACUUUCAGAAAACAAGUGGUUUUACUACAGUAAUUUUAACAGAUACCUUUCCAAUACAAUACUUACUAUUUUAAGAAGCCGAAGUCCAGCUGUUCGAGUGAAUUUUCUGGCAAAAAGAAAACAUUUUGAUGGUUUAUCCUUGCUGCUGCACCAUUCUCUUCUGUUCUCAGUCGAAAAAUGGAUGUUGUCUGUGCUCUAGUUUUUGACAAAAAAAUUGGGAGAAAUAUAUGAUGUUUUUCAAAUAUCGUGGAAAAUGACUGAAUUACUUUAGUCAAGGGAAAACAAAGCUGAUACUUGGGGAGUUUAUACCAAGUGCCUAGUAAUUUCUUGAUCCAAGAUUCUUAGAUUAAACAUUUAAUAGAGAAUACCAAAAAGCGUUAAUUCUAAAUAAAUCAAAGAAAAAUCUAAUCUAAAAAUCGUAGGAAGUAUGGGGCCAAAAGAUUCAUUCAAUACCUUUAUGCUUUUAAUAAGUUUAGUAGUUGCAUCUGAAAAUUUGUAUGUCAUUGGAUGCCAUCCACGCCGUUCGGGAUUUUUAGAAGAAAGAUCCCAUGUAGAAUGUGUCAAGCUUCUAGCUGUUAUUUCCCAUUCAAGUUCAUUGUGCUGAAUAUUGGCACAAAAAUGAUUCGAAUGUAAAAAAAAAUAUAUAUAUGAUAGCUUAAAAGAAUAAGAAUAAAAUCCUACUGCAAGCAAUGUCUGAACAUAGUGUUCGUCGGGUAUACAGUUGUGUUCCUUCCAAGCAUCUGCAGGCUUCAUAUGCAAAAUGUUAAGAAAAAUAUUAAUUUAUUAGUUAUUUAAACCUUUUUUUAUGAACAGUUAUUUAAAUAUUUUAAAUUUACAUUUCCAAAAUACAAUGAUGACAUCUCAGCUACAAUAACCCGAAAAGACACGUAAACAAUAUCAUUCUAUUAAAAUACUCACACGAUGCAUUCUCAAUUUCUCACGUAGAAAACUAGAACACAUUGUAUCGUUUGUGUUUUCAAUAAAAAUUAUGCGAACUAUGUAACCACAUACUGGUAAUCGGUAUGCGGACGUAUGGAUGCACGAUGCGGUAUACAGCCAGUCAAGCAUUCAAGUAUUUUUUUUAUAUUUUUAAAAAUCCAUAAAAAUCAUAUUAAAUUAGUAUAAAUCAGUAAAAAUACUUUUAAAUUAAGGAAAAAUAUAAAUUGCAUAAAUAAACAUUAAGCAACUACAUAAAAUUGUAAAAAUAAGUACAUAUUUUAUAUAACUGUUGAAAUUUUUCCAACAACUAUAUUUAAUAACUAAUAUAAGCUAUAUAGCCUUUUAGACUUGUAGAUUCUAAGCCUUUAAUAAUAUAAAAAAUUAAUUUGGGUCUGAUUUUUUUUUUAUGGCAGAAAUAUGUGGCCAAGUGACUCUGCGGUCAAAAAUGAUGCGUCCUCAACUAUGCCAACCAAUUAGUCAAGGCUGCAUUAUGCACCCUCAACUUCAAAUCGCACUAUGCGGUGUGCGAUCGCUUAGUGAAAAUAAAUGGUUUGAUGACAAAGUUGAAUUUUGCAUCACAUAAGAAAAUGAUGGAAAAUAUAUAACUAACAGAUUUGUUUUGAAAAAAUUACUCACAAAUGGAUGAUCUCGCCAAAACUCAGGUAAUGAUUUUCUCUACAAAAAAUAAAUAAUUACAAAAUAAAGUUAGAUCAUAUGAACUAUGAAGUGAAGCCUCACCAAGCAACAAAAAACAUUGUAUGUACAAGCAUGAACAUAUUAAGGGGGUUGAUGGGCUCUGAAAUUUAAAUACACCUAUUAUCUAAGCAACGGUAAAUAAUAUUACAUAUUUUAGGCAUGCCGCAUCCUAAAAGAUAAAUAAUUUUCCAAUCUAUCUCUGUAUUUUUAAUUUACUAAUAAUCUCAUUAACAAAACAUAUUCAAUACAGCAUUAAAUGACAUUACAAUUGAAAGGAGGUCACUAAAUAAAUUAAUAAAAUAUCUCAUAUUGUACUUGCAUAUCAUUCAUUAGAUUUGGGAUAGAAGAAUUAAGAAAGUCAAGAAACGGAAUACCUUGGACAAAAAUUGUACUCAAGAAUAAAGGGGGUUUAGGAAUUAGAAACUUACACACUAUCACCUUAGCUACCCCAAUAAAAAAGGCUGCCAUAAUCUGGGGAAAAACAAUCAGUCCUAUCUGGAUGGAUCAUGAAUGCAAAUGAAAUAUGUUAAGGGGAGAGAUCUACAAAGCAUCACAAUUAAAGCCACCAUUAACUCUUCCCAAUGGAAAGCGUUAAUUGAUUUCAAAAACCUUAUCAGCCAAUGCUAGUCACCUGGAAAAAAGGUAAUGGAAAAUAAAACCUAGGGGUGAUUAUAGAAGCCCUGGGGACUAAAGACACAAUUGCAUAAGUCAUUUGGUUUCAUAUGCCUACUAGAGUCACCUGGAAAAUUUGUGGGAGGCUUCACUCCUGCGACAAACCCCCUUAGUUUCACGGAUCUAGGACCAGGAGAAUUACUAUAUAGGACUAGAGUCAAUGAGCAUGUCUCAUUUCCCAUGCUAGAAAAAUAUCAUCUUUAACAUGUAUUUUACUUCUUGUUUUUUUCCAUUUUUAAUGAGCUUUAACUUCAUCAAGAAAAAAUAUGCCUACUAAAUUAGUAAAUUUUCAUUUAUCCUAUGGAGAAUUAAAAAUAGACAGCUUAAGACCUUACAAAAUGCUAAAUGCUUGGGGUAUCCCAAUCCAACCAAAAUGCCUUCUCUAUGGCCAGGAAGUUGAGACCAUUAGCCAUCUGUUCUUCAAUUGUAGCUACGUUAAACAACUCCUCUUAAACCUCGUAGAAUUCCCCAACCAAGCCCUAUGGAAAAUAUCUAAUUAACCAGCCCCAACACACUAAAACUGACGAUGUAAUUGAGGCUUGCCAAAAACUGACACAUCAAUCUCCUCCAUGGGCCCUCCAUUGGAAUACAAUUGGAAGCCUCACUUGGCACAUCUGGUCCGAAACGAACAUAAGGCUGCGUCAACAUACUAUUAGACCUCCAGAUAUACUAUUCCAGAAAAUCAUCAAGGACUCCAGCCUUUCCUUUAGAACUGAAAUCUUUAAGGAUUAUGGUUUACAAAUGGAGAGGACUACUAUGUAGGUUUGGGAGAAAAACCUCCUGAGAAUAAGCUCUGAGUGGGAAAACACUCUAUCAACCAACCCACCACAUUCUUUUUUUUCCACUUGCAAUUUCAGGGUUCUACCCUUCAUUAUUAUUAAUAAGAAAUAUUUAAUAGUUGCAAAAAAUAAAUCAUCCAUUAGAUUGAUAAAAUAUAAAUCAAGUUUAUAUUGAUGAAUCACACAUUCUUUAUUUUAAUGAAUCAGCUUUUUUAUAGUGAAUUUGAUUCUAAUUGCUAAAUGAUUUCAUUUUGGAGAUUUAAAUUUCCUAUGAAUUGCAAACUAAGUGUCUAGAGUAUAUAUAUGUAGUACACUUACUUUACAAUGUCUUUGAAAUACAGGGAAAACUGUAUCAUCAUUCACCAUAACUUCGGCAUGCUUUCUAAUUAACACAACCCACUACAAGAAGAGAAAGAAAUGAUAAAAAAUGGAUGAUCAAUAAUAAAAUCAUAAUGGAUUGAUUGCAAAUGUAAAGAUAACGCAUUCUAAUAAUCUAUUACCUGAGAUCCUUUCCGCCAAUUUUGAGCAGGCACAGCCGGAUGCAUUUUUAGAUUAUAACGACUAUCUUUUGCAUCAGAAAAACUACAUUCAACAAAUUGAAAGAGAAAUAGCACUUACGAGUUACGAAUACAGAUCAAUUGAUAUUCCAUAUUGUAUAGUUGUGAAAUUAUGUAAACAUAUUAAGAUGAUAUGAAUGGAAAACAUGUUAUUUUGUCCCCAUGUGAUAAAAACAAUGAGGAUUUUGAAAACACGUAAUGAUAUGAUCAACCAAGGAAAUUUGAUAAAAUCAACAAACACCUAACGCUAAAAUUUAAACCAAUGUUUCUAUAUAAAAGAGAGGCCCAUGUUGAGAAGUUCUACACAAACAAAGAUUAUAUUAACACACAAUCAAUGAUGAAAUCUUCAUCAAUAAACAAAGGAACAAACCGGUAUAACAAAAUUAACAGUAAAAUAGAAUAUUGAUACAUCAACACUAUAACAGUAGGAACAUAAAAAAAAAUAGCUCUAUAAACAUCUGAUAUCUUACCUGUCUACGAAACUAUUAGGAGAUGACAUAAUAUAAUCAUAUGUGUAGCUGAAGUUAUAUAAAGGUAUGCAGCUGCAGAAAAUUUUAAAAUCAAAAUAUACAUUAACCAAUUGAGAUACAAGCAGAAAAAAAGUAUGAAAAUGUAAGGAGAAGAUCUUUAUAACUUGAGUUUUGUAGUUAUUCCGAAGUAUGAAGAAGUAACUGAGUAGUAACUAGUAAGUACCAAGUACCUACCUGUCUGAAACAAAAACAAAGCGUUUAUUGAAAGGAUCGUUUAAAGCUGAUUUUAGAAGGAUACGCUCCGCUUCGAUCAUGCUGGAUCCACCCCAAUCAACCUACACAUAUAGUAAUUAGUUAAUCAAUCGAAGCCCGAAAAAUCAAAUUGAACAUCAGAAUUCAAAAUGUAUAUUAACUCAAGUACCUGGAUGCUUUGAUUAAUCUGGCGGCCAUAGAAGAAUGGGGACAUUGUAGUUGCCUCAUUGAGCACAAAGCCUGGUCUGGAAUGGACAUAUAUUGAGAACUUCCCUUCCUCGUCGCCCUGCAGAACAACAAACAACAGUAUAAAGUACAGAACAUCAAAUCCCAAACAAGACAAGAGUGACUAACUGACCUUUAAGAAUGCAUCCCAAACCAAGUCCAACGGCAACCUGUUACGAGCAAUGAACAUGAACACGAUCUUGGAGUUAUGAUGCACUGAAAGCGAUGACGACGACGAAGAAGAAAACGAUGGAGAAGAUUGCGAUGUUUCCAGACGAUUAUAAGGCGACUGCAGUAGAAGGAAAGUAGUGAAGCAGAACAACAGAAGAAGCAGAUAAACGAUUUUUUUCCCGUUCCAUUGCAGUUUCCCCCAAACAGAUGACGAUGACGAAGACGACGAUGAUAACGAAUUCCUCCUCUUCAUCCUCUCUUCUUCUGCAAACCCGAAAAACAACAUCACAACAGCAUCAGUAAGCAGGCUCUGAGAGAAGAUCGAUCAAGAAAUACCUUCUGGUUAGGGUUUCAGCGAGAUCGGAGAUGUUGCCGGCGAGAAAUCUCCAUAUUCGCCGGUAAAGACUAAAGAGUAGUGGUGUGUCAGUGUGGUGCCGGUCAGGUAUCAGGUAUGGUACAAAAUUGUAUGCACGUGACCAACAUGCAGUAUAACGUGGUGGGUGGAUCGAGGGUCGCGUCAGUGGCUCGAUGUUUGUGGAUUGUAGACCCAAUUAAACUAGAUGAAAAUAGUCUGUUUUGAAUAACUCUUUUUCAAAGUUAAAUAAAAAUCUUUCAAAAAUAAAAGAUUCUUUUGAUAUAUGCCCUUUUGCAAAACAAACUAAAUUAAAGUACCAAAAUAGUCCAUCAAAAACCAAUUCAAAUUUUGAUUUUAUUCACAUUGAUAUUUGGGGAAAAUUCUCAAUAACAACUCAUUAUGGUUUUUGUUUUUUUUAACAAUAGUUGAUGAUUUUAGUAGAGUCACUUGGACUUUUCUACUAAAAUCAAAGAAUAUGCCUAUAAAUUGUAUUGAAGAUUUUCUAAUCAAAGUUAAAAAUAUUUUCGAUAAAAAUGUUAAAACCAUUAGAAGUGAUAGUGGAGAAGUGAUAUUGAAGUAAAUGAUUGGUUGAAUGUUUUGGAUAAUUUUGAGGGAAAUUUAUGUAUGAAUGGAAUAUGAAUGUAAAUAUGUGUUUGAUUGAUUUUUUCAGGUUAUAUGAAUGUGUAAGAUCUUCAAUAGGCGUCUUGUAAAAUGUAAAUAUUUCCUAUAAUUUUUUUAGAAAUUAGCCACAGCCUUUUGACAUUUAGCCACCGAAUUUGGCCGUGGUCCUUCACUUUCCACUCUAGGUUUCAAGGAUUUAGCCACGGCCAAUAAAGGAUUAGCCACGGAUUUUGGCCGUGGCCCUUCAUCACUCAAAAAAUUUAACUACGACAAAAUAAAAUUAGCCACUGAAUUAUGACGUGGCUAAUUUUUUUAAAAAUUAAACCCGAUUAUCGAUUACCAACAUUAGUCACGGAAUAUAGCCACCAGACCUACAACCACGGCACCUCUCGUGGCUAAAUCAAUUUAGCCACGGAUUUUGCCAUUUAGCCAGUGAACUUGGCCGUGGCUGUUUCCCUGUUUUCUUGUAGUGUACGCUUCUAUCCUCUGGGUACCCGCCAGGUUGGUGGAAAAGAUCCUUUCAAAAGGUCCUUGUGAAAAGGAGCACUUUUGAUUCUCAGGAAUUCAAUCGGGCUGCUGGCGACUGGGUCGGCGGCCAGCUUCCGACGGAGAUCUUCCACGAACCGUGUCGUAAGAGUCUUGUCGGUGCGACUCUUACUAGGUCCAGCCCUUGCUUUAGGAGGGACUGGAGAUUUCCUCUUUUUCUCCGCAGUUGGAGAAUAGUAAAACCCAGAUUCACCCGCUCCUUCGCGGAUGAUGGUCUUGUUACCUCUAGCUUUCUCGAGGUUGCUAACUCUUUUUUCUAUGGAAUCCAUAAAGUUAAUAAACCUCUCUUCUAGCACAGGAGUUAGGUUCACUCCCCCAUUUGGUGGGAGUGAUGAGGGCACCUCAUGUGCGGACAGUGGUGCAUUAGAGGUUGGUACAGUACGAGAACCAACCCUCCUACCAGAAGCUCCUACUUCAGUAGAAAUAGCGGGAGCUUUUUUUUUUAUGAUUCUUAGUAAAAGGAGUCAUAAAUGGGAUGGUUGCUUCUAUUGGGUUGAAGCAACAGACUACGAGUGGUGGGUAGGUACCUGCCCCCCGGGUGUCACAAAACAGAAAAAUUUUUGUAUAAUAAUUCUUUGUAAUUUUGUGACCCCCUUGAGGAGUACUACUAGUCCCCAAAGUUUGAAAUUAGCAAAAAAAAUCGCAAAUUUUUUGCAAUUUUUCUGCAGAAAAUCGUGCCGCCAGAAGUGGUUUUUGGGAUGCCUAUUUAGACCUAUCCCAUAAAAGGUUCCUUGCACUGUUGGGAAAUUCUGCUUUUUUGUACUCGUAGAAAAAUCUUUUUUCACUUGAUGUGUGGUCCAAAAUCCCAAAAUCAGAUAUGAGAAUUCCGGAGGCGGACUGACAGAAUCACUAGAAGUGAAAAAAGGCGAAAAGCCCCAUACUCUUUUUUUUUAUUUCUUUUACCGAAACGACGAUGCGAAUCCAACCAAAACGAUGGAUUUUCGUUUCGGUCAAAGAGUUAGGUUGUGGGUGGUCUUAUUCAGCCAAAGCGAUGAAUGAAGACAAAGACCGAAUAGACGAUUCAGGUGUGGGAAUCGCCUACUCAGUGUGGGAAUCGCCUACUCAGGUCGAUUCAGGUGGGAAUCGACGAUUCAGAUGAAGAUAGGUGAUUUUUUAUGAAAAAUCCAACCUAUACGAAAGUGAAUGUUCCAGAGCAAAAGGUAUCGACAACACUUGUUCAAAAAGCUAAAGGAAACGGCGACUCCCUAGGUGGAAUCGACGAUUCAACUUAUGGGUUUCUUGAAUCAAGCCGUGAACAACACUCUUAGCUAACAGAAUAAUCCUGGAAUCGACGACUCACUAGGUGGAGUCGGCGAUUGCUGGUAUGAAUCGACGAUUCCUUGACACAAAGUCAGCGAUUCACCCCAGGGGAAUCGAGCCGAACUUUGCGAAGAAAAUUUCUUAAUUACGACGGGAUAUCGUAGUUCGAUAGUCCCACAGACGGCGUCAGCUGAUGAAGCACGAAAUCUGCUACCAGGAGGCUCGCGGGGUUGCGAGGAGGGCCGGAGGCUUUGGAGUCCACGACGCACGCUCUACGUCAAAUAGCUGCAGAAGAGGAGGGGAAUCGACGACUCAGAUGUGGGAGUCGGCGACUCGGGCUCCUUAGUUUGCUCUAGUGUGGGGUGUAUCAAGUGUAGAUGACCUGAGAAUGGAGGACCCCCAAGGACCCCUUUUAUAGGGUCUUUGGGACGUUUCUCCAUGCAAUGAUCUGGGGCCCACGCCAUUAUGGCGCCCGUUUAAUGGUGCCAUAAUAACGCGGGCCAAGUCAAGUAACGCCUGGGAAUCGGCGACUGAGGUAUGGGAGUCGUCUAUUCAGGGUGGAGUCGGCGAGUCCUCGGGAGCCAGGUCAGAAGUCUACCAGAACUCACUACCCUGGUCCGGAAUCGUCGACUCACCUCUGGAAUCGACGACUUGUUAGUCCCAAUCGUCGAUUCCCAGUGUUGACUUGAGUACUUGACGUAGACACUUGCCCGCAACCGUGGAACUCUCCGGGGGUCCGGCAUAAAGCGACGGAACCCUAGUCCUUGUUGAAGGGCGUUGCUGGAAGUGACUGACGUAAUCAGGCAUGUCUUACCACAACCCUAAUUUGCAUGUGCAAAUUAGAAAUUAGUGGGUUUUACAUCGAUUUAUCACUCAAACUAUUUUCAAUUCUAAGUUAAUUUAGAAGUAUAAAUCAUUUGCGAGUUUUACUGACGACUGAACUACGAUUCGUACGACCAAGCUUACGUCCAGAGUGGCUAAAUAGGGGUUAGCAGAAUCUAACUUACGUCUAGAGUGGCUAAAUUACGAUUUCUGAAUCUAGUUUCGAGCCUAGGUUAUAACUUAAAAAUAUUUAUACAGAAAAUUAACGAAGAAAGACAAAAUAUUUCAUUGAUUGAUAAAAAGAUUACAAAAAUACCCACUACCAAAAAAAACUAAGUAUUUCUAGUCUUCUUCCUUCCUCGGCGCUCGAACAUCGCUCUUUAUCUUAUCAAAAGCUUCUUUGUGCUCCAACUGUACUUCAGGAUGUUCUUCUAGCCAUGCCAUGAUGUCAGUCACAAAGUUGGCGGGCAAACUUGGAAACACGUGAGGACCAAAAAAGUUUAAGUCCUCGAGUUGGUCAGAUUGACCAUCAACUUCAAACUCCAAGUCCUUCACUUUUUCAGAAGAAGCAUCUAGUUCUUCCUUCAUCUUUCUCGACUCCUCCGUGGAUUGGGAGAAGCGAUCAUUCAAAUCCUUUAGUUCGGAGGCGGACUUAAAAAGAUCUACUUUUGAGCUCCUGAAUUUGUGAUUCAGAAGCCACCGCAUUGCCAACCUCCGCGUUCAGUUACACCUUCAAUUCUUCGAUUUCUUUCAGAGCAUUAGCAAGUCGUGAUUCAGAUGUCUUCAAGGAAUCACGUUCCUGGCGAAGGGCAGAAAUCUCAAGUCUGUUUGCAGUGCAUUCUUUAUCUUUCGCCGCAAUUGUCUUUUCACGCUCAACAGCUUCUUCUUACAACCUCUUGUUAUUUUAGAAGACCUUCCUCUGUGACCACACUUCUUUGCAAACAACUUGAUACUUGUCAUCAAGCUUGUCAUAUUCACGCUGAGAUCUAAGCGUGUCAUUACAUGACUGGAUCCCAGCAGCAGUAUUCGAUAGAUACGCAGCCUACAAAAAAAAACAAUUCAAUUAAUACAAAAAUAAAUAAGUAGAAAAAUAUACGAGUUUAGGUCACUUACAACAGAUAGGGCUUUGGUGAGCUCUUCUCGAAUCCAAUCCCCAGGCUUCGCCAACAGUAGUUGGGUGGCCUUCGAUCGCACCUCGGCAUUCGCAAACAGGCUCAGAUAGUCAAAAAUAGAUCGAAAGGGAGCAAACUCUGAUACUGACCGCGAGCGCGAUCCAGAUUCAAAAGUGUCACGAGGUCGAGAUUCUUCGGAUUUCCGAAUCUGAAUCAGCUUAGUACCACUCAGCCUUACGACCAAGUGAGGAAGCAACGCUUCGCGGUAGAGAUGUGCCCCCUUCUUCUUCUUAUUAAUAGGCUUGCCAAAAGGAUCUUUCGAUUUCAAGUAGUGCGUCACAAACCGAAAGUCCACGUGCUGACACAAAGCGAAAGGAAUCCCCAUCCCACAUUUAUAAGCAGCAACGGCUGAGGAGAUUUUCUUCACAUCUUCAAGCUCCGCCUUGCUUAGUUCACAAGGAACAUCAAGGUGUACGCGGCGGAUAUUGGCCCAACCCUCUCGACUUCCGCGCACAAACAUUGAUUCAACAAAAAAGAACUCGCUCUUCCACUGCCACUCGCUCUUGGGAGUGGCCUUAAUGGACCAAGAAUUAUUUUAUCGCUUUGGCCUUAAUAAUUCUUCUAUCUUGUCGCUUUGGCCUUGAUAGACUAGAGAUCAUUUUGUCGCUUUGACCUUAAUGAUCUCAACUUAUCUUGUCGCUUUGGCCAUGAUGGGGUAACCGUCGUUGCGGACACAAAAGUCGCUCUUGAUCAGAGUUGACUAUAAACAUUAGUUCUAAUAAUGGACUAGAUUCUAAUAGUGAAUCAGAUUUUGAUAGUGAAUCAAUGGAUUCUGUCGCUUUGGCUUGAAUCAGACUCUGAUAGUGAGUCAAUUCAUCUUGUCGCUUUGGCUUUGAUGACAAAGCAAAAGUCGUCCUUGAUCAGGGUUGGACUAUAAACAUGUAGUUCCGUUGGCCUGAAACUAGAUUCUGUCGCUUUGUCCAGAAUCAAUCCAUUUUGUCGCUUUGGCCUUAAUGGAUACGAAAUCAUUGCGUCGCUGUGGCCGCAAUGAUUCGAUCCCAUCUUGAUGCUUUGACCUUGAUGCGGAUCCCACACACAACCUUGCUUGGGGGGGAUACUGGCGAUACACGCAUGUUUCUUGUGCUCUCUUCAGGGGGGAGUACUGGUGAGACAUGCAUGAUUACGUCAGUCACUCCCAGCAACGCCCUUUAACAAAGACUAGGGUUCCGUCGCUUUAUGCCAGACCCUCGGAAGGCUCCCACAGUGCGGAACACGUUCAUCGUUAAAUCGUCGAGUUAACCCGUAAAUCGCGAUUGGACUAUCAAGUCGCCGAGUUAGAACCCAGAUCGGCAGUAUGGUAGACUGCACAUCUCGGCCCUUGAAACUCGGCGAGUUUGUCCCUAAAUAGGCGAUUUCCAUACCUGAAUCGUCGAUUUACGACCGUUACUCGCCGUCGGCCUACGCCAUAACGGACCAUAAAUGCGCCCAAAUAUGGCAACAGGCGCGAUGUCCGUCGUUGAGUGCGCCCUCCGAGACCCUAUAAAAAGGGUCCCAAGGAGACACUCAAAGGCACAACACAAGUUCCCUCUCCACUAGAGCAGCACUAAGAGAAUCGCUGAUUCCCUCUAGAUUCGCUUAUUCUCUCCUUGCAGGUAUUUGACGUAGAGAGCGCGUCGUGGACUCCAGAGCCUCUGACAUCACCUCGCAUCACCGCGAGCCCCUGGUAGCAUAUUCAGUGUUUCAUCAGGUGUGUUGCUAAAUCGAUUGUUGUCAUCCUGAAAAAAUGAGUUCAUAUGAAAAGUUGAAAGCACCAAAUGAUGUAACCGAUAUAAUCGGAAUGCAAAAUGGAUCAGAGGGGGUAGACCUGGUAAAUCGAAGUGCUUCGGAUCCAAGAUCAAUGAUCAAGGAUAUCCUAAGCGCAAGAAACGGAGAUGUACUCAUGAACUCAAGGCUUAGUCCUCCUGGGAAAUUGUUGUUAUGCUAGCCGGUAGGAUGUUUGAUACGGCAAGAUCAGUUGGACUGAUCGGUCGAAUUAGAGAUGGCGUGACGACGGACUGGAGGUGCACUCGACCAAGGUCGGGGUGGCUGUUGCUGGGUGAUUGGACAACAAAACGGAAAUUUCUUAAUUGAUAAUUUGUUGAUGUUUCUUACCUAAUUACAAUCCUUUAUACUCAGGACGAAUUUAGAAAUAAAAAUAACUUAAGGGUCUGAAUGUAAGAGCCCUUUCUUAAAGAUUUAAUUAAAUUUAACUCUCAUGGGCUGAGCCCAUUACAUAAUCCUUGGACCAGAUAGGAGCGGACCGCACACGAACCGGUCUAGAGUUGUUCAAACCCAGUUCUCCCUCCUCCAACGAACUCAAGCCUUUGCCUUCUUCCAAUUCCAAAAUUAGGUCUCCGGACUCUAACUCCUACACACGCACUACAAGAAAACUGGGCUACGCCCACGGGAUUAGCCACGGCCAGGAGAAGCCGUGGCUAAUUUCUAACAAUUAGCCACGGCUUUUUUAGCCGUGGCUAAGCCCGUGGCUAAUCUUUAUAUUUAGCCACGGAUGCAAAAAUCCGUGGCUAAUUUUCUCGGCAAAUUUCCCUCCAAUUUUUCAUUGAAUAUUUAGCCACGACUGUUAAAAUCCGUGGCUAAAAUUUCCGACAAAAUUUCCCUCCAAUUUUCCACUGAAAUUUAGCCACGGAUUUAGGAGCCGUGGCUAAUUUAUUUGUCACUAAAUUAGCCACCGAUAUUAGCCACGGCGUUUAGCCCUGGCUAAUAAUGAUAAUAAGGUUAGGGUUAAUGUAAAUGUAAAUAAUUAGGGUUAGGGUUAAUGUAAAUCUAAAUAAUUAGGGUUAGGGUUAGGAUUAGGAUUAGGAUUAAUAGAAAUUAACAAAAAUUAGUAAAAAUAAGUAUAUAUACAUAUUUAGAUAGUGUUAGGGUUAGAAAUUAGGGUUAAAAGUAAGAGUUAGAAGUAGAAGUUAGGGUUAGAUUAUAGUUUUUUAGAUAUUAUAAAUUAUAAAAAAUUUAAAGUUAGAUUAUAAUUAGAUAAUUAUAAUAAUUUAAAUUAUAAAAAUUAUAAAUUGAAGUUAUUUUAGAUAUUUUAAAUUUUAAAGUUAAAAAAUAAAUUUAAACAAGGUAUUUUAAUUUUUAAUGUUACAAAUUCAAGUAUUAUAAAAGUUAUUUUAAAUUAUAAAAGUAGGUUAGGGUUAGAGUUAGUCUAAUUUAAUAUCAAUUUAAAUUUCUAAUAUAAAAAUAUCAAUUUCUAAUAUUUUUAAAUUAUAAAUAUCAAUUUAAAUUUAAUAUCAAGUUAUUUUAAAUUAUAAAAGUAGGUUAGGGUUAGGUUUAGUUGUUUAUUUAAAUUAUAAAAAUAUCAAUUUCUAAUAUUAACUUUAGUCUAAUUUAAUAAAUUUUAAUUUUUAAAUUCUAAAAUUAAAUUUAAUAAAUUAGAUAUUUUAAAAGUUAUAAAAUAAGUUUAUUUUAAAUUAAAAAAAAUUAAAGAAGUUAUAAAAUAAAGUUUUUUUUUAUAUUUAAAAUUUUAAAGUGAAAAAAUAAAUUAAAAUGUUAUUUGAAAGUUAUAAAUUCCAAAUAACUUCUUUUUAAUUUAGUGAAUAAUUUAAAUAUAAAAAAUAUUUAUUAAAUUAGAAAGAUAUUUAAAAAGAUAUUUUAAAUUAAAAAUAUUUAUUAACUUCAUUUAUUAAAAGAUAUUUAAAAGAUAUUUUAAAUUAAAAAAAUAAAACCCCCAAAUCGUGAAAAAUUAAAACUAUCCCAAAACCCCAUUCCCUCCCAACGGCAAAGGAGUUCCCCUCAUUCCCUCCCAACGGCAAAGGAGUUCCCCUCAUUCCCCCCCCCCAUUCCCUCCCAACGGCAAAGGAGUUCCUCUCAUUCCCCCGAGUUCGGAUCGGACACUACAAAAUUCUCAACAGUCUCAUUCCCCCGAGUUCGGAUCGGACACUACAAAAUUCUCAACAGACUAUAGAAGUCACGCGGAGAGAAGGGAGAGCAGCAGCAAAUCGACUGUAGAAUUCUCAACAGACUGUAGCAUUCUCAACAUCGACUGUAGAAGAGAAGGGAGAGCAGCAGCAACAUCGGACACUACUAUUCUAGGGUUUCGUAGUUGUUCCUUCUUGAUUGUUUCAGGUACCAAUUGCAGUCUCCUCUUGUUUCAGGAAUCAAUUUAAAUCAAUUUUUGAAUCAAUUUAAAUCAACGAUUUCAAUCAGUGACAUUGAGAUAAUCUAUAUAGUUUUGCUGAGAAAACCAUUGAGGUAUUGAAUGGUUGGAUGGUCUGUCCUUCUAAACACAUUUACAGAAGUCUUGCGUUUGAGUUCAACCAAUGUCACAAAUAAUUUUAUUAUAAAAAUUUACAUUCGAGCUUAAUUUGAGCCAAAUGAUCUCAAAUUAAACUCGAACCAACCUACUAUUAAAUCUUGAACAUGAGCUAAUUUAUUCAUAUAAUGGUAUUACCCUAAGGUCUGUUGAUGACAGAAUCAGUGGAGGAGAAGAAAUUCACACUAAAUGAAUCUGAGCAUAUCCAUGCCUAUUUAUUUCACAGAUUGGAAACUUCCAAAUCUGCUUUAUAAUUGUAGUGGACGACCACUGCUAACCAGCUAACUUUAUUGGAAUUGGAAAUAAGUCAAAUAACUAACUAGCAACUGACUGAACUAUGGUUAUUCUUAACAAUAAAAAAAUAAACUGAUAAGAAAGCUGAUAAAUUCUAGGGAUCAAGGCAUUCCAUUGUCAAUAAAUGGAUAGAGGAAAGAUGCAUUAAAGGUCAGUUUUAACAUCUAAGUUAGAAUAAGCCAUAACCAUAUGAUCGAUCAGAUGUAUUUUUUUUAUUUAGAAUAAAGGCAGUGCCCUGAAUUACAUUGGAUUAGAUGUAAUAAAGCAAUGACAAUACAGAUGUGAAACUAUUUGUUCUAAAUUAUGCGCUUCAAUAUGUCCAAAAUGUGAAAAAUGUGAAAAAUAUAAAGAUUAUAGAGAUUUCUUUCAAUUGAAGCAAAUUGAAGGUUUUCUAUAGUUUACAAAAUCUUCUCAAAAUGAAUCUGACUGCUUUAUUCAUGAAAUGCUUGUUGUCACUGCCAUUGAUUUGAUAGACAGCAUUAGGAGAGAUCAUUCAAAGGAACUUCUUUGUUGAUCUAUUAGUCAUUAUCAAUGCUUUAGAUAGAUGCCCAUCUGAAGCUGUUAAUACUAAGAUUCUGAACUUCUUUGUUGAUCUACUUUCUGGUGAUUUUUCUUGUCCUACUUUUAAUGAAAAAUUACUUAGAAAAUUCAUUUCAUUUGAUUUGAUAUGUUUAUCAAAGUGGCUUGAAUUCAGACUCUUGGGGAGAAGCACUAAGGAUGAAUCAGGAAAUGUCAGUACUAAAGGGGUUUCCCCUUCCCUUAGAGAUUAAAAAUACUUAACAGUACGAACUUUAAAGAUUAAAGAAUAGAAAUAUACUAGAUUCCAGUAAUAGACCUAUACUAGAUUCCAUUAUCACUUAUGUAGUUAUGUUUGUAUUACACCACAAUAAAAAAUGAUUAUUAUAUGAUGUAAUUGUGUUAUGUUAACUUCUUUGUUUAGAAAUAAUUAUUUAUAAAUAAAUAUGAUGUAGCUCAUUAAUCAUAUUGACAAUGGCAGCAUUGGCAAAGGCCCAGCAGUUGCUACUUGAUCCGCAAGAAAGAGAAUAUCUUCUUAAUCAAAUCAAAUCUGCAAAAGGUGAGAUAAGGAUAUUUUCUUUGCGCCUAUUUUUCCCCAUUUAAUGAUAGGUAUUUCAAAAGUUUCAUAUCGAGAUAAUUUGUAAAAAAAAUUUAGUUUCAAGUUUCAACAUGUCUUUAUAAUUCCAUUAGAAAUGGCACGCGGACGGAGUCGUAAACGGACGGACGAUCACAAUCUGCAAGAAUAGAUCAAGACAUCGUAGAGGACCGCUUCGAUGAAGAACAUCGAAGAAAAUGGACAAAAGGAUUGAGACAACCGGAUGCACCAACUCCCGCCACUAUUCUUAAGAGCGGGUGAGUAUUUUCAUUAUAAUUCAUUAUAUUUUAUUAUUUAAUUUGAUUGUUUUUUAUAGGACUUUUACAAACAAUGUAAGAAGUCAAAUAGGAAUAUUAGUAAAAGGUAAUAUAACGUCACCUUUAACUAAAUGGACUUCUUGGAAAGAAGAGGAAAAGGAAAAUAUUUUCAUCAAAUUUCUGGUAUGAUUUAUUUAUUUAUUUGUCAUUUUUUCCAUAUGUAAUGUUUUUGUCUUUAUGUAGUGCUAUUUCUCAUUUGAGGACAUUCAAUUGGCUCGUGAAUGUUUUGAUAAUUAUGUACAACUAAAUUAUACAUGUUGGUUGUAUAAAGCGAGACAAGAGGCAAAGAAAUUGGCAAAAGUUGACACACUAACCAGAUCUUGCGCUAGAUUUCCACCGAUAUACCUUUCUGCGGAAGUAUGGAGUGAAAUGAUAGAAAUUUGGUUAAAAGAAGAUUGGAAAAAAAGAUCAGAAAAAGCAUCAGAAAAUAGGAUAAACAAUACAGAUUACAUGCCAUACACGGGUGGAUCUUGUUCAGUUGCGGCCACUCAUGAAAGAAUGGUAAAAAAACAUUUCUUUCAUAUAUUUUACAUUUAUCAUUCUAAUUUUUUUGAAUAUAACAAUCAGAAUGAAGAAGCUGGUUAUGAAGUCGGUCACUGUGAGGUUUAUAAGAAAACACAUAGUUUGGCUAAGACAAACGACUGGGCCCAUCCAAAGGGAGGAUGCUUCAUUGUAAGAAAAUUCGUUAGAAAUGCUUCGUUUUAAAAUAUUUAAGUCAUAUUUUUUAUUUAUUAUUGAUUUUCAUUUUUAUAGGCUGACUAUAAUGAGCUUCAAAGAAAUGCUAUGGAAGCAGAAAAUUCUGAGAUCAACUCAUCAAAUGGAUCACACACACUCCCUGAUAAUUUAGAAUUAUGGGUCAAAGCUACUGACGGAAAAAAGAAAGGUCGUGUGCUUGAAACCAGAGCAAGUGAUCCAAUGCCAUUACCAAUUCCUGAUAAUAUGGCGACUUCACAGAACACAACGACGAAUUAUAUAGAAAUUCAACAACAAAAAAGUAAAGAAGACUUUGAUCGGGCAGUUCAAGAGGCCAUUAGAAAACAGAUGCCGGAUAUACUAAAGGAACUAAGGGAAGACUUACGUCGAGAGACGAUUAAGGUAAUUAGCAUUUAUAUAUAAAUCAAUAUUCAUAUUUUCUUUGUAAUUUCAAUUUUUUUUUUACAUUAGGGUCAGUCGAGCCAAGGACACAACACCAUAAUCACGUCUAUUAGAAGAGAUUCAAAUGUCGAAAAUAUUGGCAAGAGUCCAAGUAAAAGUCCGAGUAAAAGUGCGACGAAUAGCGUGACAAACACCAACAAAUAGGUUCCUUUUCUUUUAUCUUUUGGUUUAGUUUUGAAUAACAUGAAUUGUAUGAAUGGUAUGUUUUGUUGCUUAUUAAUUGAAUGGUACGUUUUGGAAUGGAAUGAUAUGUUUUAUUGGUUAUUGAAUGUUUUUGAAUGGUAUGUUUGGUUAUAGGUAUGGAAUAUAAUGUAAUGAAUGUUUUGGAUAAUUUUGAGGGAUAUUUGUGUAUGAAUGGAAUGUGUAUGAAUGGAAUAUGAAUGUAAAUAUAUGUUUCAUUGAUUUUUUCAGGUUAUAUGAAUGUGUAAGACCUUCAAUAAGCGUCUUCUAAAAUGUAAAUAUUUCCUAUAAAUAUUUUAGAAAUUAGCCACGGCCUUUUGGCAUUUAGCCACGGAUUUUGGCUGUGGCCCUUCACUUUCAACUCUGUUUGAAGGAUUUAGCCACGACCAGUUAAGGAUUAGCCACGGCCAAAAUCCGUGGCACGGCAAAAUAAAAUUAGCCACUGAAUUAUGCCGUGGCUAAUUUUUAACAUUAGCCACGGAUUUUGGCCGUGGCUAAAAUAAAUGGCCGUGGCUAAUAUUUAGCCACGGAAAACCAUUUCCGUGGCCAAAAAACAGUAGCCACCAGACUUACAGCCACGGCAGCUCCCGUGGCUAAUUCCCGUGGCUAAAUCAAUUUAGCCACGGAUUUUGCCAUUUAGCCAGUGAACUUGGCCGUGGCUGUUUCCCAGUUUUCUUGUAGUGACGCCGGAAAUUAUCCAGCAAGUCUCUGGUUAAAUCUUCAAUCUUUAUUCCAGCAGCUCCGCAUCAGAUUGUCAAUCAUCUUGACAACCGUCGUCGAUGUCUUAUGAUAUCUUUAAACUAAUAAGGUACGUCAAUACGCUAAUUCAACACAUAUUUAUACCACCAAAAUAUCAAUUAUCGUACUUCAUCUUCUUUUAUAAAUAUGAUGCACAAGGUGGAAACGUAAUGUCGUAUGCCUAAGAAUGAACAGAUAAAAUGGGACUAUGACGUUUUGACAGAUUUUAGUUGGGAGAGGUUUGCUGAUAUAUUUCAUUAUUAUUUUUUAAAUAACUGACAAAUAUCUUAGUAUUAGUAGGUUUAUUAGCAUCUAAUGGUGGAUAGUGCAUAUAACAUAUUUAGAUAAGGUGCACAUGAAACGCACCCUAUAUAUAUAUUAGAAAAAAUCCAUUAGAAAAUAUUUGUAUGUGAGAAUAUCCGUCACAGAUCAUUCUAUAUAUCAUUAAUACUCAAAUUCAUCAUACUUAGUGCAACUUAGAAGUAGUUAUAGUAGCUAAUUAGUAUAAUUGUUUUUUGAUAAAACAUCAUAUCGAGCCAUUGUGGAGAUAUUAUAUAUAGAAAAUGGUUCUGAUGAAAUACUUUAAUUUCACCGUUCUCAUUAUUUCAUUUUUUAGAGAUUUCGGAUCUUAGAGAAAUAAAAAAAAAAUAGACGAUCAAAAUCAUUAUCUCAUUGAAUCUUCCAUUUAUAUAUAUCAUUUCUUACUGAAUUAGAAAUACAGGUUCCUCUGCCACUACAGAUCUUUAGUGAACAGUUAAUUAAUGGGCUACGUUUGUUGUAAACAAUCUCAUUUGCUACACGAAAUUAAAGCACGUGUGGCUACGUUUAUAAUUAGAGAGAAUGCUGAAAGAAGGAUAUUGGAAGCUAAUUAUCAAGAACAUUUCAAGCAUACAAUAGAAGGCAUGCAGACAAUAUUAUGGCCCAAGCCUUUCAGGGAACUACAAGGCAAACUUGUUGACGAGAUUCCACAAGUUUGAGGGGGGCAUGCAACAAUGUAUUCAGAAUUUCCCGUAAGGAGAGCGAAAUUUGCCGAAGUCGGAUUUUUUUACUAUUUUUUAAAUAAAAUUUUAACAUAACCUAAUGAUCAUGGUCUUAGAUUAGAGAAACAUAUACACCCAAAAACCUUAAAAAAUUUAUAAUCUGGAAUUUUAGUUUGGUUAAAUUACAAUUACAUCUAUAUAUUGUAUUAUAUUAUAUAUAUGGUAUGUAUACUUAAUAAGAUAUGUUUUUAAAGUAAAAAUUGGAAAUUAACUAUCUAAGAUGAAGCUUUGGAUUUAUUCCCCCAUGUUUGUAGCCAUAAUUACGGCAGAGGAUCCCACUCAUCCUUGAAUUGUCGGUACUUCCAAAAUUGAGCCCAUGUUUUUCAUAUAUCUGCUUUCAACAAAGAUGAUCCCCUAGUCCUUGAUAAAUUCUCUGCCCCGAACCUGGAUGGGGAGAGCGGUGUUCUCUUUGUACCUAGCGUUUUGUUCGGCCAAUAUGUGCCAAAUGAAAGCUGCCAGAGUCGCCCAUUGAAGUCCCCAGCAGGGUGCUUGAGGCCUAAACCUCUGGAUCCCUUCAGAUAGAUCACCAAUCCUCACAUCCAUCAACGAACUGCUCGUGACAUCCAUGACUUGCACAAUAAUGAGUUUGUUGCUGAUACGAAAAUAGUCUAGAUCUCAUUUGUGUAAGGGCAGUCGAUGAAUAAGUGUAUGAUUGAUUCAUCACUAAUUACCUCCACACAAUAGGCAAGUUGUCGGAACAUCCAAUCCCCAAUUACACAAUUUUUCGAAGGUGGUUAGCUUAUUCUAUCUGAGCCACCAUAGAACUAUCGCCAUUUUAGAGGUUUUGCACGUCCAAAUUCCUACCGCAAACGGAUAUGGAAUGCCUCCUGGUAAAAGAGAAUCGUAUAUCCUCUUGACAGUGAGCCGCCUUUGGUCAAAAGCAUCUACCUCACGACCUACCUCCAUUGAUAUAUGAUCCGACAAGAUGUCUGAUGAGGGUGGAACCCGAUCAGUGCUUGGAUGACGCUUCGAACAAGCAUUGGGCCAGGAACUUCGCCAGAAGCAGCUCGCACUCUUCAUUUGCUCAGGCUCACUUUGCUCAGAAAUCUCUCUCACUCGAAAUAAGCUACUCGAAUGAAUGGAAGUGACCUUCUAUUUAUAGGGUCGGUCUCUUAUGGGGAUAAUCUGGUCAUUAGUGUUGUAACCGCCUAACCGCUCAUAUCUAGUUUCAGGUCGACUUCCCUGAGUCCGACUUUCAUCCAGGUCGACUUCUAGGGAUCGACUUCCCCAUAAGUCGACUGGGGCCUCUCAUCACCUAUACGGGUUUUCACCAUCCAUUCUGGGCUAUCUCUGAUUGUUGAUGUUGUGAUCAAGUCUCGGAUACUGUAUCACCAGUAUUCCCCCCCUUCGUUACGCACUAGGUUUCCCAGGGGAUACUUCCUGGUUAUGUUGAUGUGAUCUGAAUGUUAGAUCCUACAUCACCAGUAUUCCCCUCUCCUUUUCCUGUCAUGGUAGGGAUUCAUGGUCUGGUGUCACCAGGGUUCCCCCCUCACUCAGUCGCAAAUGGAGACUCGUUCUUCGUAAUUGUAGGGUUUGAUGCACAACCUUAUACUUUUGAGGUUUCCCCCAUCUCCCAUAGCUAGCGCCAGCCUGUAUUGAGCAACUGAAGUGAGCAAGCCACUUUCCAUGCGAAACUAUUCCUAACCCUUUGAACGAUGUUCGCUGUAACCGAACAUUGGUCGAGUCCCUUGCCUCUCAUCUGUAAAAUCAGCAAUAUUCGUGGGUAUUUGGAGAAGUGAUGACCUAAUCUAUAAAUAGAGUGAAAUUCUCUCAUUUUCGGCUACCACACCUAAAUCAUAAGUUUGAGCUUUCACUCCCUCAUUUGAGAUCUCCAAGUGUUCUAAAACUUCCAAAGUUUCUAAAGUGACCUAGCUUCCAAAAGUUACAAAAGCUCUCUACAUAUUUUUAUAAUCCUCUUGUUCAUCUAAAUAAGUAAGAAGUAUUUUGUGCUUACUAUUCCACUCUUUUAAUCAUCUCUUGUGUGCAGUGUGUUCACUUUGGUUGAAAGAUUUGUCUCAAAAUCACCAAAGUGAGAAAAAGGGUUUUUGAGUUAAACCAAAAAAUUCUAAGUUUGAUUUUAUAGAGUUUCCUGAAAAACUCUUAGGUUAAAUCUAUCUCAAAGAUUCAAAGGUUUUCAAAAGUCCCCUUGAAUACUCCAAGGUUCCAAGUCUACCCGUAAAGGCUUGAGAGGCUUUUAAGAAUGCCCUUGAAUAUUCUAAGGUGUGAGUCUACCUGUAAAAGAUCGGUUCAUAAACGAAGUAGCCUUAAAGCCUAUAGAGGUUUUUAAGAGUGUCUUUGAAUACUCUAAGGUUUAAAUCAACCUGUAAUAGAAUUGGUUCGUAAGCGGUGUAGCCAAAAGGUAUUGCCAUAACCUUUAGGCCAGUAAUCUCUGAUUUUAUCGGGACUGGAUUAGCCCUUGUUUGGGUGAACCGGUAUAAAUCUUUUAUGUUGCUCUUUGUUAUUUUUACUUUAAGCUCGCUUAUUAUUAAUUGUCUAAAACCAGUUAGUAACAACAAACUUAAAAGAUUCUGUUAUUUGGUCAAAGAAAAGAAGUUGACUAUUUUCUUCAUAUCCCUCAUCUAGUAAUAUGGUCAGUUGUCUGAGGUUAACAUUCUUUCUUAAAUUAAUAUCUAGUCAUCUGGUCAAGUUUAACUUUCUAUUUCAAUUUUAUAUCCAAUCAUCUGGUCCAUUAAAUUGAAUCAUAUAAUAUUACUACUGUUCAAUCUUGUUUCAUUAAAUGUUUAUAGGUAAUUACGUUAAUAACCUGUAAUUCACAAUCCAACACUUUGUACCAGCAUCGGGUAGUAGAACCAAACAGCCCAACGAAUCGAGGUCGAGCUUAGGGUCUAUACACCCUCAACGAUCAGGGAAGGAGAGGUUGGAAGCUAUAUACACCCUCAAGUUCAACCGUCUCACAGAAGCAAGGGGAAGCACCAACAACUUGAAAGAUAGUUUUAACACACAACACUCGGUUCAUGGUAGGACAACUCGUAUAGAAACUUGAUAACCUCCUCUUCCGAAAGUCCAAUCGAGGGCAUUCAGCGAGCCUGGAAGAGAAAUGAGAAAAUGUGCUCUGAUGUAUUAGAACAACUCGAAUAUAAACUAAUAAUUAAAUAUAUGAGUUAAUUAGUCAUUAAUUAAUACACAUUGAUAGAUAAAUUAGUUACAUUAGUUAUAGAGUUGUUGGGCUAAAGGUUGGUUAUUCAAUUGUAGCAAGUCUAUAUAAACAAUGUAACACCUUAUAAUAAUUCAUUCAUGAAUAUAAUUCAAUUUUGGGUUACUGUUUUAUUUCUCGGUCUUCUUUCAAUCACUUUCGUUAGUUUUCAUUCAAAUAUUGUCGGAGCCUAUCAACCUUGUCUCCACAUUCUUUCGUGAUAAUGUCGGUGACUGCAGACUAUAUCUUUAUACGAUGAGAGUCUCGUAGGAGUUGUGUAAGAUCGUUCACCUUUUUAGUUUUCACACACUCACAAAAGAACGAGGCUGAUCUUUUUAGAUUAAAGAAUUCAACAUUCCCAAACCCCUUAUCGAUCCUACUGUUGACAGCCACCCUGGGGGCACGUCCGACCACCGUAGUUUGGCCACCGAUCUUAGGAUUGUUCAAGAGAAGAAAAAGCCUUUCAGUUUCACUAACUGGUGAUACACCAUGUUUCUUGUGCUCUCUUCAGGGGGGAGUACUGGUGAGACAUGCCUGAUUACACCAGUCACUACCCAUCAACGCCUCUCAACAAGGACUAGGGCUCCGUCGCUAUGGCAGGACCCCGGAGAGCUCCCACGGUGCGGAACACGUUCAUCGUCCAGAUCGCCAAGUUAGCCCGUAAAGUCGCCCGAUUGGACUACCAAGUCGCCGACAUAUAGGAUAACUUGCCGAGUUAAGGCAAGAUCGGCUGUAUGGUAGACUGCACAUCUUGGCCCUAGAAACUCGCCGAGUUAGCCCUUAACUAGACGACUUCCAUACCUGAAUCGGCGACUUACGACCGUUACUCGGCGGCAGCCAACGUCAUAAAUGUUACCAUAUAUGACCAUAGGCGCGAUCUCCGCCGUUGAGUGCGCCCUCCGAGACCCUAUAAAAAGGGUCCCAAGGGGACACUCAAAGGCACGAUUCAAGUUCCACUCUCACAACAGAGCACCACUACGAAGCUCGCCGAUUCUCACUAGAAUCGCCUAGUUUCCCCUUGCAGGUAUUUGACGUAGAGCGUGCGUCGUGGACUCCAAAGCCUCCGGCAUCAACCUCGCACCACCGCGAGCCCUGGUAGCAGAUUCAGUGCUUCAUCAGCUGGCGCCGUCUAUGGGACUACCGAACCACCGGUAUCCCGUCGUAAUCGCGAUUUUUUAAAAAUCCGGCUCGAGCUCCCCCAAGAGUUCGCCGAGUUUGUCAAAAAAUCGCCGACUUAGAUCGUUCGAUUCUCGGGUAAGGUCCGAUUUAGCCUUAAAUCGCCGACUUAUCCUUGAGAAUCGCCCAAUCCGGAAUAUCGUCUGCUAGCUAAGAGUGUUGUCCACGACCUUGUUCGGGAAAACCCCUAACUCGUCGAGUUAACCCCUAACUCGCCGACUUAGUUUCUGUUUUUCCUACAGGCUCAGUCAGGUACCUCUCUGCUUUGGUACUUCUUCGCUUUUGUUUUCAUGGCAAUCAUCGAAAAGCAAAAGCACCCUUACACCACAAGAAGUAAGGGAAAAAUGCCAGCAACUGAGCUGGAACAGGGUGAUCAAUCCCGACCAAAGGGACCCGACAAUGCUCAACCUGUCGAAAUAAACUCGGUUCCUCCUCUCGUCGAGGAACACAUAGUGCCCAAGGCUCCACCCACCUUGGAAGAAAGGUUGUUCAGUUUCAUGGACAACAUUGAAAGAAGGAUGACCAACCUCGAGCAAGCGAGGAGUCAUAGGACCAUCACCAUCCGUGAAAGAGCGGAUGAAUCUGGGUCCAUAUAUUCUCCAUCUGCGGAGAAAAAAUAGAGUUCCCGUCCCAAGACGGGACUCAGUAAGAGUCGCUCCGAAAGGACUCUUACUACUCGGUUCGUAGAGGAUCUUCGGCGGAAGUUGGCAACCGACCCAGCUGUCGGCAACCCGCACGAAAUCCUGAGGGUUAAAAGUGCUCCUCUUCGGGAGGACCUUUUAAAGGGAGUUUUCCCACCCAACUGGCGGGUACCAAGGAUCGAGGCAUACGACGGUUCAAGUGAUCCACAAGAUCACGUGAACCUCUACCUCAACGUCUUCGAACCGCAAACCAUCGAUGAUGGGCUGCUGUGUCGGGCAUUACCCGGCACUCUCAAGGGCAGCGCUUAUCAAUGGUUCUCUGGUCUGUCAGCUGGCUCAGUCACCAGCUUUGCAGACCUCUCAUCCAAAUUCAUCGCCCAACACGUGGGGAUGAUAAGGAUAAAACAUAGUGCCAACGCACUCCUGGCACUCAGACAGGACAAACUGUCUCUGAGGGAUUACACGGUCAAGUUCACCACAAUGAUGACAGAGGUGAACGACCUAAUCCCGAGUGUGGCCAUAGCAGGGUACAUUAGAGGAUUAGUCCCCUACUCCCCUCUGGCCCAAAAUCUGACUCUCUACAAGGUGAGUUCUCUGCCCGAUCUCUUCCAACGAGCUCAAUUGUACAUUGAGGUAGAAGAGGAGGACGAGAACAAGCUAGCUGAACUUGGGACUCCUAGCUUCCAAAAGCCUAAGUUUGAGAGGAAGGGGUACAGUGGAAACAACAAUUUCCACGACACCUCCAACAAGUAUACCAGUAACAAGGCCGAGACUUCCAAAAAAGAAUGGAAGCCUAGGCAUGAUAACAAGGUAUAUCAAGCCUCAACCAGCAAGCCAAAGGGUGUAAUUCCACUAUGGAAAAGAAACACCCCGCUUACUAUCAGAAAAGGCGAGCUGUUUGAGAAGCUAAAGAACCGAGCGGAUCUACCUGUCCCUCGUUCUUUAGACCCUGCAGGCAAAAAGGGCCGCAUGCAAUCUGGGAAAUACUGUGAAUUUCACAAAGACUGCGGUCACCUAACAGAUAACUGCAGGGAGUUCUCGUCUUUCGUCGAGCAGUUGAUCUCAAAGGGAGAACUUGGCAACUUCGUCAAGAACUCCCGAGGACGGGACAACUGCAAAUCUGACACAAAGGGGAAGCGUCCACGCUCUCCUUCGCCAGACACUGACAACAGCGAGAACCGCCAGCGGAAGACCAUCAAUAUGAUAUUUGGUGGUGGAUCCGUUGGCCAGAACAGGGGAUAUUCCCGAAAGGUGCUGAUGUCACAAUCAACACCUCGAGACAACGGAAAGCGGGGCCGCGAAAAGAAGUCAAUAUACUUCUUCAAAGAGGACCUGACCGAUGUCUUGCAACCUCACGAGGACCCACUCGUGAUCCAGGCAGACAUCGGUUCUAAAUCCCGAGUCGAGAGAAUGAUUGUCGACAACGGCAGCUCUGCAGAUAUCCUCUACAUGGAUACUUUUACCAAGAUGGGCUUUAAAAGGGAGGAACUAUCUCCCUGUAAGGAAGCCAUCUACGGUUUCACUAACAUCGCCGCCCCAGUGGCCGGUGUUAUCAACCUAAAAGUAUCCAUCGGUUCCAAGCGAGGAAGGGUUAGUCGAACAUGCCGUUUCAUUGUAGUGGAGGUAGAAUGCACUUUCCAUGGCAUUUUUGGACGCCCCUUCAUCCACGGAAUCCAAGCAGUCCCAUCUUCUUAUCACCAAUGCAUUCGAUACCCAGUAAACGGGUUCGUUGCGACUGUCAAAGGAUCACAAUAAGAUUCUAGACAAUGGUAUAAGAAGGCAACCCAGCUGACUCGACAACAUGCUCGUCCACGCCCCGCCUAGCAUCGAGGAGAGGUAAAAUUACAACCUGUGGACGAAGCUAAGGUAUGCCAACUGGAGGGGGGCAAGUGGCACUAGAGAAGGGGUUACCCCCUGCCUUAAAAGCCAAGUUGUGACUGUCCUGGAAGAGCACCAGGGCAGGUUCGUUUGGAGGGGUGAGGCACUGACACAGAUUGUGCGCACAAACUGAACGUCGGCUCAUCCAUUCCAGCUCGACGCCAGAAGCGUCGAGUACUCACUCCCGACAGGCGGGAGUCAGCCAAAGGAACCUGGGCAGACAAGUUGUGCGAAAUCCUAUGGGAAUAUCGCACAACGAGUAAGAGCCCCACGGGCUAGCAUAACAGAAAGGAAUAGGCCAAGAAAUAAACUAUCUUCCAACUUCGAAGGUCCCUACAUCGUUAAGGAGGAGAUAAGGCCAGGAACUUAUCGCCUACGACGACAGGAUGGAACAAUGGUUCCUAACACCUGGCAUGCGGACAACAUGCAGCAGUACUACGCAUAGUACUCACAAGCAUCAAGUUUAUUUUCUUUAGUUUUCCUAGUAUGUAUGUUAGCUAAUCAUAAAAUAUAUUUACGCAUUCUAACCCGUAUGGAUACCCUAAAUCUAUUGUGUCGCUUUGGCCUCAGUAGAACAAAGAUCAUUCCGUCGCUACAGCCCUAAUGAUCCUAUCCAAUCUUGUCGCUUCGGCCUUGAUAUGGAUCAAUAAGUCACUCCAUCACUAGGAUAGGAGUCGGACUACAUCGUCAAGGGUUCAAAUCCAAUGUUAAAAUAAAUAGGUCCAAUUCAGACACGCAUUGCGACCACGACUCUUAUUCGCACGAGCGAAUCAAGAAUUAGUGGAUAUCAAACCACUUUCAUCUAUCGAGUUUAACUACGAUUCAUACGACCAAACUUACGUCCUAAGUGGCUAAGAAUCUAACUUACGUCCAAAAGCGACUAAGUUACGAUUUGGGAAUCUAGUUAAAUCGAGUUCGACCAAACUUACGUCCUAAGUGGCUAAGAAUCUAACUUACGUACGACCCAACUUACGUCCUAAGUGGCUAAGUAGAGUUACAAGAAUCUAACUUACGUCCAGAGCGACUAAGUUACGAUUUGUGAAUCUAGUUUAAGUUCAACUAAACCUACGUCCUAAGUGACUAAGUGAAGUUAAAAGAAUCUAACUUACGUUCAAAAGCGACUAAGUUACGAUUUGGGAAUCUAGUUAAGUCGAGUUUUUCCAAACUCACGUCCUAAGUGGCUAAGUAAGCUAUGAUUCGUACGACUAAAUCUAUGUCCUAAGUAUCUAACUUACGUCCAGAGCGACUAAGUUAUGAUUUAUGAAUCUAGUUUAAGUCUAAACACAUUAGCAAAAAACAAAGUAAUUUCAUUAAUACAAAAAUAAAUUACAAAAUCCACUAGAAGGAAAUCUAUUACAAUAGUUCUAAUCUUCUUCCUUCCUCGCAUUGCGAACAUCACUCUUGUCUAAGGCUUCCUUGUGCUCCAGCUGCACUUCAGGAUGUUCUUCUAGCCAUGCCAUAAUGUCUGAAAUGUAGUUGGCGGGCAGACUCGUAAACACGUGAGGACCAAAAAAGUUCAAGUCUUGGAGUUGAUCAGAUUGGCCAUCAACUUCGAACUCCAAGUCCUUCACCUUCUCAGAAGAAGCGUCCAGAUCUUCCUUCAUCUUCUUCGACUUCUCCGUGGAUCGAGAGAAGCGAUCUUCCAAAUCUUUCAGAGCAGAAGUGGAUUCAGAAAGUUCUACUUUGAGUUUCUGAAUUUGCGAUUCAGAAACCAAAGCAUUUCCGACUUCCGCACUUAGCUGCAUCUUCAGCCCAUCAAUCUCCUUUCGGGCAGCUGCGAGAAGCAACUCAGAUUCUUUCAGGGAGUCACAUUGUUGGCGAAGAUUCGCGAUAUCGAGUCGGUGCCCAGCGCACUCUUUGUUCUUCGCCGCCAUCGCUUUCUCGUGCUCAGCAGCUUGUUCCUCCAACUUCUUAUUCCGUUGGAGGGUCUUUCUCAACGACCACACUUCUUUGCAGACAGCUUGAUACUUGUCAUCAAGCUUGUUGUACUCCUGUUGAGAACGGAGUGUGUCGUUCGCAGAUUGUAUCCCAAUCGAUGCAUUUGAUAGAUACGCGACCUACAAAACAAAACAAUCAAUUAGUAAAAUAAAAUGAAACACAUAUAAGUAAAAAGCGAUUGCGAAUCACUUACAGCAGAUAUAGCUUUUCCAAGCUCUUCGCGUAUCCAAUCCCAGGCUUAGUCAGAAGCAGCUGGGCAGCCUUUGUUCGCACCCCUUCAUCGGCAAACAAGCCCGGAUAAUCAAAAGUGGUACGGAAGGGGGCGAACUCAGGAACAGACCUCGAGCUCGACCCAGUCUCGAAGGUUCUGCGGGGGCCAGUCUCUUGGGCCUUCCUUUCUCUAAUCAGCUUAGCGCCGCGAAGUCUCACGGCCAAGUGUGGAAGGACCGCCUCGCGGUAUAGAUGUGCACCCUUCUUCUUCUUGAUUGGAUUGCCAGAAGGGUCCUCUGACCGCAGGUAGUGUGGAACAUCAGAAAAAGUAAAAUCAUCUCGCUGGCACAAAGUGAAAGGAACUCCUUGCCCACAUUCGAAGGAAGCGAGAGCAGAAGAGAUCUUCUUCACCCGCUUCAGCUCGGCCUUGCUCAGGGCGCAAGGAACAUCCAGGUGUACGCGGCGAGCGUUGGCCCACCUCUCGCGGCUCCCGCGUACAAAUGUAGAAUCAAUAAAGAAGAACUCACUCUUCCACUGGGGCCCGUAGUUAGUGGGGAGUUCUAUAAUCAGCUCUCUUCCGCUGAACCGCUUCGCUAACCCCAACCUACCAGAUUCGAAAGCGGGCGCCUUGACAAAUUUAAAAAACCAGAAGAACAAGGCGGCGGUUGCAGGGAUGUUCAGGCUCCAACAGAUGUUGGAGAAUCCUCUCAAAUAAACAAAGAAUGCUGCCUGCAUCUGCGACAGCGACACCCCCCCUUGAAGCAGCACUUCACUCAUCAGUGCAGGAAUUGGCAGCAUCGAGAAGUGUCUGAAGUAGAGGCGGGGGAUGGCUUGGAACCCGGCUGGAGGCAGAUUCGCGGGCUGAUAUCGCGACCCCAAGAAUCGCAGAUGCCCAGAUAUACGAAUCCCGCGUAGAAUCUCACGGGCUUCAAUUGCGGAGGUUAUCGAAAAUGGAUGCACGGUCUCGUUCUGAGGCACGAGAGGUGCAUUGACAGAAACCUCCUCAAAGGACCCCUCGUCCGUGUCGCUAAGGGGCAGCAGUCUAAUCUCACCACCCGGCAAGGUCUCGCAGUGUGCAUAGCCGGUGUGGUUCUCCACUCCCUCAUAGAAUGGGAGGUUCACAUGAUCUCCAUCCUUGUCCAUUUCCAUAGGAGGAGGAGGAGUGUGCGAUCCGUCAGAAGGAUCAUUGCGGCUUCGGCUUUGGCCGCGGUCAACUGGCAUUUCCUGAGUAUAGUCAAAGGGCUCAGGUACCCGUACAUCCUCCGCAGAGGGGAAGUGCGUCUUUCCUCUACCACCCAUCCCAUAAAUAUGAGGAAUGGGGGCAUUACUAUCGUCAGGCUUCUCAGAGGAAUCCCUUGCAUGUUUGGGAUGCUUCCUCUUUCUUUUCUUCGGCCUCUCAGAUUCGUCAAUCGGCCCCUCAGACUCCACCACUUGGAUGGGUGCAAAUUCUUCAACUUCAAGCCCCGAGUUUGGGGGCAACAUUGGCGACUUAGGGUCCAGACUCGCCGAUGUUUGUACUGAACUCGCCGAUCCGAGUUGAAUUACUCGGCGAGGUCUCUUAAACAUAGGGACACCCCCCUUGCCUUUGACUGGCGACUUCCCAAGGGGACUCGCCGACUUAAUUGCAAGACUCGGGGGAAUCUCACCCAGUUCAAUAGAAGGCUCUGCCACGACCAGAGCCAGGGAGUCAUCCGUCAAACUCGCCGAUUUCUUUUGGGAACUCGGCGAGUUUUCAGGAGUCAGCCAGAGCAACUCGCGGGCAGUAGCAAGGAACUUGACGUUCUGUGGUGCGUCGACAGCCGGAAUCUCCGACCCACCGCGCGAAGGCGAGGGAAUCGGAGACUCAACGGUGUCGAGCACCCCCGUCAAGCCUUCAUCGAUGUCAUCAUUCAAUAUGUCGGCGACCAGAGCUUCGGUCUCUGACAUUGUCAAUCUAGGGAGAGACGGUUCGUCUGCCAUAAGUCGGCAAUUUAGAAGUAGAUUCGGCGAUUUGGUAAAAAGUUCUGGUAGUUGUGAUGAGAGUUGGCGAGUUAGGAAGAAACUCGGCGACUUAGAAAGGGGUUAGGUUUUAAGCAAAUCAGGGAAAAGUGAAGUGCGGAUUAAAAUAAUCAACUCACUAUUUAUAGACCCUGGGCAAAUUGCAAUAACUCCCCGGAGAAUCUAGAAAUUACGCGAAGAAAAAUCGCUAAUUGAUCUCCAAAUCCGCAAGACUCGGCGAGUUUCUCGCAAACUCGCCGAGUUUGGGCAAAAAUCACGGGAUACGAAGAGGAAAUUUCCAUACUUGGAAAAUUUGCAAAUAUUUCCCAAGAUCCUAAGGAUUCUCAGAGAGAUCCGCCAGCUCAUACUAAGACUCGCCGAGUUUAUAGGAAAAUCGCCGAUCCAGGUCAGCGAACCUCCAGGUUUCUCAAAAAACAACACCAAUGCUAAGUCGGCGAGUUAACACCUUAAGUCGCCGACUUAGGAUAUUAUAUAGUAUCUUAGGGGGAAAAUCAGAAGCCCCCUUCCACAAGUUCAGGGGGGAGUAUCACAAGCUCUCCCGACAUUUCUAUCGCUUUGGCUAGAGAUCGUCAAACUUCAGGGGGGAGUAUCACAAGCUCUCCCGACAUUUCUAUCGCUGUGGCUAGAGAUCGUCAAACUUCAGGGGGGAGUAUCACAAGCUCUCCCGACAUUUCUAUCGCUUUGGCUAGAGAUCGUCAAACUUCAGGGGGGAGUAUCACAAGCUCUCCCGACUUUUCUGUCGCUCCGGCCGGAAAUCGUCAAACCUCAGGGGGGAGUAUCACAAACUCCCUCGACUUUUCUGUCGCUUCGUCCAGAAAUCGUCAUACCUCAGGGGGGAGUAUCACAUGCUCUCCCGACUUUUCUGUCGCUCCGGCCGGAAAUUAUCAAAACUCAGGGGGGAGUAUCACAAGCUCUCCCGACACUUCUGUCGCUCUCGCCAGAAGUCGUCAAACAUGAGCACGGUGAGUCUGUCGCUUCGGCCAGAUUCACCGAGGAUUGAUCAAAAUAAAGAGAAGAAUAUCGCAAGAGGUAAAAUCGGUCAAUAGUCAUAUGCGUUUUUAGACUGAUCUAGUUGUUUUGCAGGAUGUUUUCUUUUUUGCAGAUAUUAUUCUAUCGCUUUGGCCAGAAUGUUUUUCUUUUUUGUAGGUAUUAUUCUGUCGCUUUGGCCAGAAUAAGACUCUAAUAGUGAGUCCAAGUAUCUUGUCGCAUUCUGCCUUGAUACACUAGAGAUCGUUCUGUCGCUUUGGCCUUAACGAUCUCAACCCAUCUUGUCGCUAAAAGCCUUGAAGGGGGCCGUCGUUGCAGACUUUAAGUCGCUCUUGAUCAGAGUGGACUAUAAACAUUAGUUCUAUCGCUUCGUCUAGAACUUGGUUCUAUCGCUCUGGCAAAACCCGAUUCUGUCGCUCCGGCCUGAAUCAUAUUCCGUCGCUUUGGCCGGAAUUUAUCUUGUCGCUUCGGCCUCGAUAACACAGUGCAGUCGCCCUUGAUCAGGGAAGGACUAUAAACAGAGUUACCGUGGCCUAUGGAUUCUGAAUCAUUACGUCACUGUGGGCGGAUGAUUCGAUCUCAUCUUGUCGCUUUGGACUUGGUGUUGGAUCACACACAUUGAACCUUGGUUGGGGGGGGGUACUGGUGAUACACGCAUGUUUCUUGUGCUCUCUUCAGGGGGGAGUACUGGUGAGACAUGCCUGAUUACGUCAGUCACUACCAGCAACGCCUUACAACAAGGACUAGGGCUCCGUCGCUAUGGCAGGACCCCCGGAGAGCUCCCACGGUGCGNNNNNNNNNNNNNNNNNNNNNNNNNNNNNNNNNNNNNNNNNNNNNNNNNNNNNNNNNNNNNNNNNNNNNNNNNNNNNNNNNNNNNNNNNNNNNNNNNNNNNNNNNNNNNNGGUAGACUGUACAUCUUGGCCCUAGAAACUCGCCGAGUUAGCCCUAACUAGGCGACUUCCAUACCUGAAUCGGCGACUUACGACCGUUACUCGCCGCCAGCCAACGUCAUAAAUGUUACCAUAUAUGACCAUAGGCGCGAUGUCCGCCUUUGAUUGCGCCCUCCGAGAUCCUAUAAAAGGGGUCUCAAGGGGACACUCAAAGGCACGAUUCAAGUUCCUCUCUCACACCAGAGCAUCACUACGAAACUCGGCGAGUCUCAUUAGAAUCGCCUAGUUUCCACUUGCAGGUAUUUGACGUAGAGCGUGCGUCGUGGACUCCAAAUCCUCCGGCAUCAACCUCGCCCCACCGCGAGCCCUGGUAGCAGAUUCAGUGCUUCAUCAUAGCCCAUUCAUGUACCCCGCUAUGGCCAGACUUGGGAUUAGGUCGUUCACUUCUGUCAUCAUCGAAGUGAACUUAAUCAUGUAAUCCCUCAGAGACAGUUUGUUCUGUCGUAAUGCCAGCAGUGCGUUGGCACUGUGUUUUAUUCUGAUCAUCCCCACAUGUUGGGCGAUGAACUUCGAAGAGAGGUCCGCGAAGCUGAAGACCGAGCCAGCUGGCAGACCAGAGAACCACCGAUAAGCGCUGCCUUUGAGAGUGCCGAGGAAUGCCCGACACAACAGUCCGUUAUCGGUGGUCUGCGGUUCCAAGACACUAAGGUAGAGGUUGAUGUGAUCUUUUGGAUCACUCGAUCCUUCAUACGCUUCUAUCUUGGGUACCCUCUAGGUUGGUGAAAAAAAUUCUUUCAAAAGGUCCUUAUGAAAUGGAGUGCUUUUGAUUCUCAAGAACUCGAUCGGACUGCUGGCGACCGGAUUGUCGGACAGCUUCCGACGGAGAUCUUCCACGAACUUUAUUGUAAGAGUCUUGUCAGUGCGACUCUUUCUAGGUCCAGCUUUUGCUUUAGGAGGCACUGGUGAUUUCCUCUUUUUCUCGGCAGAUGGAGAAGAGUAAGAUCCAGAUUCACCCGCUCCUUCUUGCCCCUCGCUUUCUCGAGGUUGCUAACUCUUUUUUCUAUGGAAUCCAUAAAGUUAAUCAACCUCUCUUCUAGUGCAGGAGUUAGGUUCACUCCUCCAUUCGAUGGGAGUGAUGAGGGCAUUGGAGGUUGGUAUAGUUCGGGAACCAACCUUCCUACCAGAAGCUCCUACUUCAGUAGCAAUAGCGGGAGCAUUCUUUUUAUGAUCCUUAGUAAAAGGAGCCAUAAAUGGAAUAGUUGCUUCUAUUGGGUCGAAGUAACAGACUACGAGUGGAAGUUCUUCCGAAGUGUCGGAAGCUAUGGAUAGGUACCUGCCCCCCCGGGUGUCACAAAACAGAAAAUUUUUGUAUAAUAUUUCUUUAUAGUUUUGUGACCCCCUUGAGCAGUACUACUAGUCCCCGAAGUUUGAAAUUAGCAAAAAAUAUCGCAAAUUUUUUGCAAAUUUUCUAUAGAAAAUCGUGCCGCCGAAGGUGGUUUAUGGGAUGCCUGUUUAGACCUAUCCUAGAAAAGGCUCCUUGCAUUAUUGUGAAAUUCUGCUUUUUUGUACUCGUAGAAAAAACUUUUUUCACGUGAUGUGUGGUUGCAGAAUCCCAAAAUCAGAUCUGGGCAUUCCGGAGGUGGACUGACAGAAUUACUGAAAGUGAAAAAAGGAAAAAAGCCCCAUACUCUUUUUUUUUUACCGAAACGAAGAGGCGAAUCCAGCCAAAGCGAUGGAUUUUUGUUUCGGUCAAAGAGCAGGGCUAUUAGUGGUCUUAUUCAGUCAAAGCGAUAAAUGAGUGGUCUUAUACAGCCAAAGUGAUGAAUGAAGACGAUGAAUGAGUGGUCUUAUUCAGCCAAAGCGAUGAAUGAAGACGAUAACCGAAUCGACAAUUUAAGUGUGGGAAUCGCCUACUCAGUGUGGGAGUCGGCGAUUCUGUUGGGAAUCGUCGAUUCAGUGUGGGAAUCGUCGAUUCAGUUGGGAAUCGACGAUUCAGAUGAGGAUAGACGAUUUUCUAUGAAAAAUCCAACCUAUAUGAAAGGCAUUGACAGCAAAAGGCAUUGACAGCAAAAGGAAUCGGUGACUCCCUAUGUGGAAUCGGCGAUUCAACUUAUGGCCUUUUUUGAACCAAGCCAUGGACAACACUCUUAGAUAGCAGAAUAACCUAGAAUCAGCGACUCACUAGGUGGAAUGGUGAUUGCCUAUAUGAAUCGACGAUUCCUUGACACAAAGUCAGCGAUUCACCGGAAGGGAAUCGAGCCGAACUUUGCGAAGAAAAUUUCGCGAUUACGACGGGAUAUCGUAGUUCGAUAGUCCCACAGACGGCGCCAGCUGAUGAAGCACGAAAUCUGUUACCAGUAGACUCGCGGGGUUGCGAGGAGGGCCGGAGGCUUUAGAGUCCACGACGCGCGCUCUACGUCAAUGUACCUGCAAAAGUUGAGGGGAAUCGACGACUCACGUGGGAGUCGACGACUCGGGCUCCUUGGUUUGCUCUGGUUGGAGUGUUGUCAAGUGGGAAUGACUUGGGAGUGAAGGACCCCCAAGGACCUCUUUUAUUAGCGUUUUCCCCAUUCAUUAGCAUGGGGUCCACUCCAUUAUGGUGCCCAAUUAAGAGUGCCAUAAUGACGUGGGCCCUCCCAAGUAACGGUUGGGAAUCGACUACUCAGGUAUGGGAGUCGCCGAUUCAGAGGUGGUGUCGCCGACUCCCUUGUGGUUAGGUUCUCGGUCUGCCAGACCCGAGUGUCCUGUCUAGAGUCGGCGAUGCACCCCUGGAAUCGGCAACUUGGUAGUCCAAAUCGGCGAUUCCUAGGUGUUGCCUUGAGUACCUAGACACUUGCUCCGCACCAUGGAUGCCUUCCGGAGGUCCGGCGUAAAGCGACGGAACCCUAGUCCUUGUUGAGGGGCGUUGCUGGGAGUGACUUACGUGAUCAGGCAUGUCUCACCAAGGUUGAUUAACUUCAUGGAUACCAUGGAACAAAGAGUUAAUAACCUCGGGAAAUCGAGGAGUCAGAGGACCAUCGCCCACGAAGGAGCGGACGAAUCGGCCUCUCACAAUUCUCCAUCUGCGAAGAAAAAGAAGAAAGGUUCAGAACGACAAAAAUCAAAAGCUGGACCUAGUAAGAGUCGCACUGAGAAGACUCUUACAACUUGGUUUGUGGAAGACCUCCGUCGGAAGAUGGCUGAUAAUCCGGUCACCAGCGGUCCGAUUGAAUUCCUAAGAGUCAAAAGCGCUCCUUUUCAUGAGGACCUUUUGAGGGUGUCUUUUCCACCAACCUGACGGGUACCCAGGGUAGAAGCGUAUGACGGUUCGGGUGAUCCAAAAGAUCACAUCAACCUCUAUCUUAAUGUCCUGGAACCGCAAACCACCGAUAACGCGUUGUUGUGUCGGGCAUUCCCUGGCACUCUCAAGGGCAGUGCCUAUCGGUAGUUUUCCGGUCUGCCAGCUGGAUCAAUCUCCAGCUUCGCUGACCUCUCAUCCAAGUUCAUCGCCCAACAUGUGGGGAUGAUCAGGAUCAAACAUAGUGCCAAUGCACUGCUGGCACUACAACACAACAAGUUGUCGUUGAGGGAUUACACGAUUAAGUUCACUUCAAAGAUGACAGAAGUGAGCGACUUAAUCCCAAUUCUGGCCAUAGCGGGGUUCGUGAAUGGGCUAGUACCCUACUCCUCUUUGGCCCAGCAUUUUAGACUCCAUAAAGUGGAGACUUUACCUGACCUCUUUCAACGAGCCCAAUCAUUCAUUGAGGUGGAAGAGAAGAAUGAAAACAAGCUAGUGGAACUUGAGUGCACUAGCUUCAAAAAACAAAAGUUCGAGAAAAAGGGCUACAACGGGAAGAAUAAUUUCUCCACAAAUCGAAUUUGUGAUCAAAGCUCAAUAAGGUAUGAAGUUUUAUUUUCUCCACAAAUUAGAUAUGUCCUAUCAUUAAGGGGGAGAUACUUCACAGGUAUCUAUUUUAACUUUGUCGAUAACUAAUUGUUUUAAGGGGGAGAAAUCAUGCAUGAUCCACUGCUUUUAAAUUAAAUAUUAUGGGUCAAUAAUUCUGGGGGAGCAUGCUCAUAAGGGUAAAAUAGAAUAUUAACUAGACAUGAGUUAAACAUAUAUGCCAUCGACAAAGGGGGAGAAUGUAGAAUCAAAAUUGUCGACAUAGGAUUAUAUUUUAAUCAUGUCAAUUUAAACCUUAAUUACACUAUUAAUCAAUAGGGGGUAAAUAAGUCAAUCGAUAUUAAACCUUACUCCAGUUAAUUAAUUAAUCAUUUGAGUUAAGGGUUUAAGUCAAAGUUAAAAGUCAAAUUGGGAGAAUUGCAUUUUGCAUUAUCACCUUGAAUAUUAUUAUUUGGAAUAAUUGCAUUUUUACCUUGAAUAUUAUUAUUAUUAUAUUUUGACACUUUAUUCAAGGUAUAAUAUUCCAAGGGGACAAAACACUAUUCAAGUUUAAAUUUAUACAAAGAUAAGAUUCUCCAACAAACUCUAUCCAAGAAAAGCACUAUUCAAGAUAAGAUCAAAGACAAAGCUUGGAUUUAUGUGAGAGAUCAAGGAGCCAUCCAUUGAAGAUCCAAGGGUGGACAUUGAGUGGCCAAGGCUAUAAAUAGAAGGGUAAUCUCCUCAUUUUCACUCACCACACUACAAGCAAACUCAAGAGCUUUCACUCCACACUUGCCCACACGUUUUUGCCUCCAAGCUUCCAAGCUUUCAAGUGCUCAAGUGUCCUAGCUUUCCAAAGCUUCAAAAGCUCUCCAACUUCUUAUUCUAAUCUUCUUGUUCAUCUUUACAAGUAAGAAGUGUUGUUUGCUUUAAUAUUCCACUCCUCUAAUCACCUCUUGUGUGUGUCCACUUUGGUUGAGAGGGUUGAGAGUGCAAAGAAUGCAUUGAAGACCACCAAAAGGUAUGUUUUAAAUUAAAUAUUAUUCUGGUUAAAAGCCACUAAAAUACAAGCCUUGCUAAGAUCCUAGCUAGCUCUUAGAUGAUAGUUUCAAAAUCUCAUUACUUGUUAAAUCUAACAAGUCAUGUCAGUACAUGGGAAAUCAAAGAACUCUCUUUUGAGAAGGAGACUGCAAGAUAAAACGAUUUUUCAUGGCUUAGUCAAACCAAAAACAAGAAAUUCUUGGAAACCUAAAAGCUUCAUCUAUAAAUACUAGGUUGUUCACUCUCAAACCAAAACCUUACUUUCUCACCCAUUCCUACCAUCUUCAAAAUGGAUUCGUAUGAUCCAGACUGGAAAAAGGUGAUGGAUCUCAUCACAGGGAAGAAGCAAGUAAGUCAAUCAGAGAUAACUACUCACCUGUUUAAAGAGAUCGAUGAGGCAAAAUCAAGGAUUAAAGUGCUGAAAUCAAGUAUUAAAAACCAAGGAGUUCUGAUCGCAGACUUGCAAUAUCAAAUCGAGAUGUUAAAAGUUCCCACUGAGGAAGCUAACACCAUCAACCAUGGUUUUGAUUAGCUUGCUAUGCCUACUCGAUGCCAUCUGAUUUAGAUGUUCCUUUUUGGUUUCAUCGAUGGUGUUCAAACACCACUAUAACAUCUGUUAAAUAGAUGUUUCUACUUUUUUAAGUCUGUUUUGUUUAAGGUCUAACCAUAGACCUAAGCUUGCUUUAUUUUUAGUGAAAAACAUCAAUGAAAAAUCAAUUUCUCACUAAGUAUUAAAGACUUAAAAGUAGAUAUGAUUCUCAAAUAGUUCUUUAUCAAGAAUCAUCAAAAAUCCAACCAUUAAAUAAAUAUGAUUAACUCCAUAUCUUCAAGAUCUUUUAGAGAUUCAAAUAUUUAAGGGUUGUAUGGAUAAACUAGAAGCUUCAAGGGCUUAAACAUAAAUUAUGUUUGAAGUUUCUAAGUUUAAAAUGAUUCACUAAACUUAAGGAUUAAAAUUAUAUUUCUCAGUGAAUAUAGAGUUAUGUGAAACUUCAAAGACUUAAACAUAAAUCGUUUAUGAAGUUUUUAAGUUUUAAUAGAUUCACGAAAACUUAAGGGUCAAAAUGAUAACUUUACAGUGAAUAUAAAUUUAUGUAAAACUUCAGGGACUUAGAAUCAAUAUUUACAUGAAGUUUUAAUCGAAAAAUUACUUAGAAAUAUUUAACACUUCCAAGGUUUAAAAUGAAAUUUUUUAAGUAUUAAUCUAAGUAUUUAUCAUAACUUCAAAGGGCUUAAAUGAAAUUUUGUUUUAAGUGAAAUUUUACAACUAAGGCUUUAAGGACUGAAAUGAAAAUUUUAAAUCUUUUAAAACUUAGUGAAUAUUUACGUGAUUAUAUUUGUCACUAAGACAUAGAUUUUAAAAUUUUAAAAUGCUCAAAGCAAUUAGUGAAUAUUAUGGAUUUAUACAUAUCAUUCAUAUCUUAUGGAUUAUAACAUUAUAAAAUCUUUAAUCCAUACAUGUUAAGAUCAUCUUCAUCCAUAACACACACAUGGAUUAUUAUUCAUUGCAUGAUCUUAGCACAAGGCAAUUUAAAUUAUCAUAUCAUACUUGCCUUAUAAUGUAUAUCCAAAUUGGCUUCAAUCCAAUAUUUUAUCAAUGAGCAUAAAUUACAUGUUAUUUCUCCUUUAUGAUUGACUAACACUCUUAUAAGCAAGAAGUCACAUUUGGUCAACCACACAAAUCGAAUUUGUGAUCAAAGCUCAAUAAGGUAUGAAGUUUUAUUUUCUCCACAAAUUAGAUAUGUCCUAUCAUUAAGGGGGAGAUACUUCACAGGUAUCUAUUUUAACUUUGUCGAUACCUUAUUGUUUUAAGGGGGAGAAAUCAUGCAUGAUCCACUGCUUUUAAAUUAAAUAUUAUGGGUCAAUAAUUCUGGGGGAGCAUGCUCAUAAGGGUAAAAUAGAAUAUUGACUAGACAUGAGUUAAACAUAUAUGCCAUCGACAAAGGGGGAGAAUGUAGAAUCAAAAUUGUCGACAUAGGAUUAUAUUUUAAUCAUGUCAAUUUAAACCCUAAUUACACUAUUAAUCAAUAGGGGGUAAAUAAGUCAAUCGAUAUUAAACCUAACUCCAGUUAAUUAAUUAAUCAUUUGAGUUAAGGGUUUAAGUCAAAGUUAAAAGUCAAAUUGGGAGAAUUGCAUUAUCACCUUGAAUAUUAUUAUUUGGAAUAAUUGCAUUUUUACCUUGAAUAUUAUUAUUAUUAUCUUUUGACACUUUAUUCAAGGUAUAAUAUUCCAAGGGGACAAAACACUAUUCAAGUUUGAAUUUAUACAAAGAUAAGAUUCUCUAACAAACUCUAUCCAAGAAAAGCACUAUUCAAGAUAAGAUCAAAGACAAAGCUUGGAUUUAUGUGAGAGAUCAAGGAGCCAUCCAUUGAAGAUCCAAGGGUGGACAUUGAGUGGCCAAGGCUAUAAAUAGAAGGGUAAUCCCCUCAUUUUCACUCACCACACUACAAGCAAACUCAAGAGCUUUCACUCCACACUUGCCCACACAUUUUUGCCUCCAAGCUUCCAAGCUUUCAAGUGCUCAAGUGUCCUAGCUUUCCAAAGCUUCAAAAGCUCUCCAACUUCUUCUUCUAAUCUUCUUGUUCAUCUUUACAAGUAAGAAGUGUUGUUUGCUUUAAUAUUCCACUCUUCUAAUCACCUCUUGUGUGUGUCCACUUUGGUUGAGAGGGUCGUCUCAAUAGUACCAAAGUGUGAGAGAAGGUUUUUGAGCUCAACCAUAAAGCUCUAGUUUGGUUUUAUAGAGUUUCCGGGAAAACUCUUAGGUCGAGUCUACCUUUAAAGAUUUCAGAGGUUUUUAAGAGUUCCUUGAUACUCUAAGGUACUAACUUACCCGUAAAAGUUAGAGGUUCUUAAAAGUGCCCUUGAUACUCUAAGGUGUGAGUCUACCCGUAAAAGACUGGUUCCUAAGCGAAGUAGCCUUAAAGCUUAGAGAGGUUUUUAAGCGUUUCCUUGAUACUCUAAGGUUUUUCCAUUACCUUUAGGCGAGUGAAUUCCGGCAGUUGGUCGGGACUGGACUAGCCCUUGUUUGGGUGAACCAGUAUAAAUCUCUUGUGUUGUUCUCUGUUAAUUAUAGUUUUAUCUUUUAUCUAAAAACAACACUUAAUUAAAAAGAUCCCUCUUCCAGUUAUCUGGUCAAAUACAGAGGUUGACUACUUUACGCAGAUCCCUCAUCCAGUUAUCUGGUCAACCAUCUGAGGUUAUAUUCAUUGCUUUAUUCAUAUAUUUGUUCAAGCAUUUACUUAUCAUAUAUAUAUCCAGUUAUCUGGUCAUUUACUUGUUUAUCAAUAUAUCCAGUUAUCUGGUCAUUUACUUGCUUAUCAAUAUAUCCAGUUAUCUGGUCAUUUACUCUAUAAUAUAACUUGUGUUUAUAAUAUAACUCAGUAUUCAUAUACUAUAGUUGUUGAUAAAACACCAUCUGAAAAGUUGACUACGUAUUCAUAUACUGUAGUAAACUUAAAGAGCAAAAGGCAAGUCCAAUAUAUAAUAUUAUAUUCUUUAAAAUUAUAUAAUAGUAUUGUAUUAACAAUAUUAUACUAUUAUUAUUAUACAACCAUUUGUGUACUUAAGUGUGUGCAGGUAAUUCCGCUAUUAACUUGCAUUAAUCGAAAAGAGACUAUUAUCCCCCCUUAUAGCCUCGGAUUUCGAUCCAACACUUAUCACCAGUGCAUACGAUACCCAGUCAAAGGGAUCGUCGCAACUGUCAAAGGAUCACAAAAUGAUUCUAGACAAGGGUAUAAGAAGGUAACGCAGCUGGUCAAACUAAACAACAUGCUCGUCCACGCCCCACCCGACAACGGGGAGAGGGAAAAAUUACAACCCGUGGAUGAAACUGAAAUGUACCAGCUGGAGGGGGGCACGUGGUACUAGGAAAGGGAUUAGCCCCCGACCUAAGGGCCAAGCUUGUGACUGUCCUGAAGGAGCACCAGGACAGGUUCAUUUGGGAGGGUGAGGCUUCGACACAGAUUGCGCGUCAAAUCGUGACGCACAAACUCAAUAUUGACCCAUCCAUCCCAGCUCGUCGCAAAAAGCGUCGAGUGCUUACUUCAAAUAUUCCAAAAUAAGACGGGGAAGACCCUUAGCUACUAGAGGAGCCUGAACUGGAUGAAGAAGCAAUAGGAGGGCCUACAAUCAAAGAAAAGAAAUCCAAAGUAAGUUGCAGAAUAAAAACAUACUACUUGGAACAGAUUUUCGCUUACGGCGAGCAGUAGGACCUUUUCGCUUAUUCACAUUUCCAGCAACCUGGAGAGGAGGUUGCUCAGCAUAUAACUCGGCCUCUUGCUCAGCCCUAGUCUCAGGAAUACUGGGUUCAGUCUCAGUAAUAGCACGCUUCGAAGCAUGUUCCUCCUCUUGGGGAAUUUUUCCCUGAACAGUUUUAUCAGUAGACAUGAUUCAACCUACACAAAACACAAAUGCUUUGGGUAGUUUAGCCAUUUUUGUAAAGAGAUUGCAAAAAAAGUCGAUUCCAAGGAAAAGUCGAUCCAGACUUUAGGAAGUCGCACUAUAAUUCAAGAAGAAGCAACUUCGGAAAAUAACUUCAAAAGUUAGAGUACCAAGAAGUCGAUCCCCGGAAUAACACUACUUUAGGAAGUCGAUGAGAAGAAGCUGGACUUCAUAAAGUCGAAUCACAGGGGAGACAACUUCAUGAGACCCAACUUACAUUAGAGUCUCAUGAAAUCGAUCCCAGCAGAUCUGAUUCAAGAAAGUCAAUGACAAAAGCCGGACUUCAGGAAGUCAGAUCGACCGCAGUCCAAGGGAAGGCCACUUCAGGAAAACAACUUCAAGAGUUGAAUCCCUGGAAGUCGAUCCCAGUCAUAUUUGGCCCAACUUUGAAAAGUCGAUGAUAAGAAGUCAGACUUCAGGAAGUCGGACCGCAGUCCAAGGGAAGGCCACUUCAGGAAAACAACUUCAAGAGUUGAAUCCCAGGAAGUCGAUCCCAGUCAUAUUUGGCGCAAUUUUGAAAAGUCGAUGAUAAGAAGUCAGACUUCAGGAAGUCGGACCGCAGUCCAAGGGAAGGCCACUUCAGGAAAACAACUUCAAGAGUUGAAUCCCAGGAAGUCAAUCCCAGUCAUAUUAGGCCCAACUUUGAAAAGUCGAUGACAAGAAGUCAGACUUCAGGAAGUCGGACCGCAGUCCAAGUGAAGGUCACUUCAGGAAAAUAACUUCAAGAGUUAAAUCCCAGGAAGUCGAUCCCAGUCAUAUUGGGCCCAACUUUGAAAAGUCGAUGAUAAGAAGUCAGAAUUCGCAAAGUCGGACCACAGUCCAAAGGGGAAUCAACUUCAAGGAAGACCGACUCUAAGAAAAGUCGGACCUCGAAGAAGUCGAUCCCAAUGCCACUUCAGCAGAACCCGACCACAGAAGUCGGACCCCGAGAAGUCGCACCUCCAAGGCUGAAGUCGAAGCUGGAAGAGCUGGAAAGUCGAAGCGGAGAAAUGUCGAUGCCUCUGAGCCAAGGAAGUAGGUGAGAAGUUAAUGAUCCCCCCUUCACUAUUUAUAAGGGGAAGUCGAAGACGAACCGUCGCGGGCACUGUUCAUCCUGUGAGCCGGAAAGCCCAUGGGCCCAACAGGCCCAAAACGACUGAAUCCGAGAAAAUCCAAAAUCCGACUGGAGGACAUCGACAUUUCAGAGUAUUCGCAUCGACAUUUAGUGUUUGGGCGUCGACAUCCUCCAAAAGAGAAGGGUAGGAUCGACAUCCCAUCAGGAUUCAUAUCAACAUCCUCAGAAGAGGGUAGACGUCGACAUUUGUUUUGGGCAUCGACAUCCUUCACAAAAGAAGAACAGGAUUGCAUCCCAUUAGUAUUCAGAUCGACAUACUCAGAAGAGGAUAGACGUCGACAUCUGCAUUUGGACAUCGACAACCUUCACAAGAGAAGGACAGGAUCGACAUUCCAUAGGAACUCGGAUCGACAUCCUCAGAGGGUGAUAGACGUCGACAUUUAUGUUUGGGCAUCGACAUCCUUCACAAGAGAAGGACAGGAUCGACAUCCCAUAGCGUUUCAACUUUGUUUAUCAUUAGAAAGGCCCAAGUAGCCCUUGAAUAAUCAUCUACUAUGGUUAGGAAAUAGUUGUUUCCUUGGUGUGUGGGUAUGUGGUAUUUUCCCCAAAUAUCUAGAUGAACUAGCUGUUUGUGCUUAAGUUCAAAGAUAAUCUUGUUUGUUUUGACAAAGGACAUAUAUUACAAAAUUUUGAAAAAAUUUUAGGAAUACAUUUGUUUAGUAAAUAUAAAUGAUAAAAUCUAGAAGGUGUAGGGUGUCCUAGUCUUUGGUGUCAGAUUUCUUCAUCUUUUGAUUCUUUUUGUUGACUGUGAUUGGCCUGGCUGGGGUGGUUUCAGCUUCAGGAUGUAUAAGCCAUCUUUUUUCUCACCACCACCAAUCUGGUUUCCUUGCUGGUCCUGUAUGGAGCAGAAAGUAGGGUGGAAGGUGAAUAAGCAAUUUAUGUCUUUUGUUAAUUUGCUUACAGAUAGUAGGUUUACUUAGAAAGAUGGUAUUUUUAAGACAUUGUGUAGGGUGAUGUCUUUUGAUAGGGAUAUAGAACAACUUGAUGAUACUCUUGUGGUUUGGGAGUUUGGGAGGUGAAUGUUUAUUGUGUAUAAUAGUGUUUUGACAUUUUGUAGGGUGGUGUUGGGAGAACACAUGUGAUCUGUUGCCCCUGUGUCAAUGAUCCAUUGAUCAUUUUCUGGUUUAGUAUGUGGUGUUGUGUAUGAGUUUAGUGAAUAAUGAAAACAUCUAUUAUUUUUAUAGUAGGAUUUACCAGAUGAGCUUCCAUAAGCCAUGUGAGCUUGACUCUGGUUUCCUUUGGAGAUUCGUCUCAGUAUGUUUAUGAGCUCUUCUCUGGUGAUAAAUUUGUUUUCAGUCUUGUCCUCACUUUAAUUUUGGCCAUCAUCCUCUGAUUGUGUGUUGGCAUUGUUGCUUUGAUGUUUUCCCUUGUAUCCUUUGUUGGGCUUCCCAUUGAAGCCCUUUUUACCAUUGAAUUUUGUUGUGUUUUCUUUCUUCUUGUUGAAGUUCACUCCAUGAAGCCCAUGCCCUGGUGAGAAACCAUGCUCAUAGAAGCAUGUUUCUAAGCUGUGGUUGUGCUUCUUGUACCUAGUGCAGUAUGGCUUGGAGUCUUCACUUUGAGUUUGUGUUUUUGCUUGGGGUGUGAAGUUUUUGGUUUGUGUUACCAUGGCACUUCCUUCCUCAGGGUAGAUGCAUUCUCUUUGAGUUUCUUCUUGGAGGACCAUUUUGAAUGCAUCAUCUACUGAGGGUGGUAUUUUCUUCUUCAAUAUUUUCCCUCUGAUUGACAAAUUUGUGUCAUUGAGCCCAGUGGUGAAAGUGAUUAGUCUUUCCAAGUUUUCUUUGGCUAUGCAAUUUGGAUUACUGCAACAUUCAAAGAUCUGGUUGUUGUCUAACUCAUUCCAGAGUUCCUGUAGUUUAGCAUAAAAAUUGCUUACAGACUCAUUACCUUGGGUACACAGAGCAAUUUGCCUUUUGAGUUGGGAAAUGACUAGUGAGUUUACUCUGCUGUAUUUUUGCUUCAGAUUCUCCCAUAGGAUGGCUGCAUCCUUUAUGAAUAUAGUGCUGCUUCUGAUUUCCUUAGAGAAGCUGUUUAGAGCAUUGCAUCUGAUCCAGGGUAUAAGGUAAUUGUGUGUAUUCUCCUUUAGUUUUGUGAUGGAUCCAUUUAUGAAUCCUAGCUUGUUUUUGGUGGAUAGGGAUCUUUGAAUCUCAACUACCCAGGUCAGAUAGUUUGGUCCACUGAGUGGAGUUACUACCUGACUUGAAUUUGGGUUGUCACUCCCUGAUAUGUAAUAAGGGCUUCCAUAUUUUAUUUUGAACUCAUUAUUCUUUGUUGCUAUUUUCAGAUAAAGCUGAGAGGAGGGAAAGAAGAUUGAUGAGAAGGCACACAAGGAAUCUCAGAAGGAUGAGGGAGUUGAGGAAGCAGGGGAUGAAUGUAUUUUGGGGAUGUGGAAGAUUUGUAUUCCUCCUCUGAUUCUGAGUAUGAGAGGCCCCCUGUGUGGAAUAUUAAUUUGCCUGAGGAUAGUGAUGGUGAAGAUGGAGGAGUAUAUGAGAUUUAUAACUACGAUUAUGACAGUGAUGAUUCUAUUGUUGAUUAUAAAGUGUGGAGUGAUCCAGACGUGGGUUUGAAUUCUGAAGGGGAGAAGGCUAAUGGUGUUCUAGCUGUGGAGAUUCCACUACGUCCUCGUCUUCCAUAGGAAUUCUUUGAUAAUAUCUGAAGGAAUAGAGUUAUCUUGGCUUACUGAAGAACUUCACUGACUGCCUUUUUGUAUUGUUUUGUGUGUUGUUGGAGCAGCUUGUUCUUUUUGGUAUAGCGACUGUUUCUUUUCUCUUUAAAAUUUCUUUUUGUAGAGAAAAAAAUUUAGAAAGGAGUGUUGAGGUCAGGAUGUGACCCUCUCUGAUACCAUGAUAGAAGUUAUAUUUGAUAUGCAAAUAUAAAUAUAUAUGAUAUUGAAAGAUGUUUAUGAAUGAGAUGGAUAUGAUCAAUGUAUGUUGGUGAGAGAGGAUCUCGCAUCCCAGGACAUCACCGAUAGCCCACACCCCAGCACGCAAAGAGGGGGGAAUACUGAUAGUACAGGGUCCAACAUACAGACCAUAGUACUAAAAGAUGUAUCCCAAGAUAUCUAAUACGCAGAGGAGGGGGGAGUACUGGUGAUACAGUAUCCCGAACCCGGUCACAACUUACCAGCAACUAGAAGUCUGGAUAGAGGUACCUAUUCUAGGAUUGGGGAGGUCCCAAGUCGAAUCCUAGGAAAAUCGACUUUUUCAAGGAUCGACUUCCCUGGGAUCGACUUCUGAACAAAGUCGAUCCCCAGAAAAGUCGGAUUCCAAGAAAGUCGAUCUCUGGAAAGUCGACAUUGGGCCCCGAUCUGAUCGGUUAGGCAGUUAGGCGGUUACUGCCCAAAUGACCAGAUUAUCCCCAUAAGAAUCCCUAUAAAUAGGAGGCAUCCCCCACUCAUUUGAGGAAGGUCAUUUGGAGUAGAGAAGUCCUAGCGAAGCAGAGCUCUGCGCACUUGAGUUCCGGUCCGAUUUCCCGCGGAGUUCCCCGCUUGGCGCUUGCUGGAGCGUCUUAGAGUACUGAUCGGGUUUCACCCUCAUCAGUUGGCGCCGUCUGUAAUUUCUCAGAAGAAAAGUUGAUUCCUCAAGGAGCUACGCUUUCAAGCUGCGACUUUCGAGGAAGUCUCCAAGUGCACAAGAAUCGACUUUUUUUCAAAAAUAAAAGUCGAACACUCCAGGAUGUUAGUGACACGAAGUACUUCUCAGGAGGUACCAGAACAGCAGUCUGGUAACUCGAAAACUAAAAGACCAGUGGGUCGGCCACCUAAGGCUAAUAAACCAAAAGCACUUCCACUGGACCUGAGGCUGAACCUGAGUAAACCCCCCAAGCAUCAGCAGGGGGAGAACCUGAGCAUCACACUACAGGCGAUAGUUGAAAGGGAGCAGCCUUCAAGAGAGCAACCUCAGAAGGAGCAACCUCAGGAAAAACCUGCAAGUAACCAGGAAGCAAAGGCUUCAGCAUCAGAAACCCCUCGAGGGUUUGUGAAAAUGCCCAUAGAGGAGCUGGAAAAAAUGAAAGAAGCCAUAGCAAAAAUGGGCGAAAGAUUGAAAACAAUUGAGAAGUCCAAAGCAUCAAUAUUUCAUUCAAAGGCUCAAACAUCAAAGUAGGCCAAGGCACAACAUGAGGUGUCAAGCCAUAGAGCGGCACACUCUAGCACGUUGCCACCUCAUAAACCAGAGGAGCAAAAAUCUAAAAUCCCACCUAAAAAACCCACGUACGAGUAAGGCACGGGAGAUACAGAGGGGGAAAGAUGCGAACUCCCAAGCUGGUUAGAAGGCAUGGAGGCCCUGCAUAAAUCACUAAUGGUGAAACCAGCACCUCUAAAAUUCAGACUGCCUAGGCUAAAAAUCUAUGAUGGGAAGAUGGACCCAGUAGACCACAUAAAUAUGUUCGUAGGAGCAAUGCAAUGGGUCACAGCAAGAGAUGACAUCCUGUGCAGAGCAUUUCCAGGAACACUGAAAGGGCCUACAUAUAGCUGGUUCGUCGAACUACAACCAGGGAGCAUAACAAGUUUCGCAGACCUGAAGAAAAAAUUCAUUACCCAACAUUGUGGAAACACAAGAGUCAAGAAGGGCAUUGAAUUAUUAUUUGCAAUCAAACAGAAUGGAGAUACGCUUCGGAAUUAGACAACUAAAUUCACAGAAGCUAUGCAAAAAAUCUCCAACCUGAACACAACAAUUACAAUCUGCGCAUACUCAAAGGGGCUAGACAUGAACACACCAUUAGCAAUAAAGCUAAAUGUAAGUAAUGUGAAAUGCAUGGAAGAUCUGCUAACAAAGGCCCAGAAGUAUAUAAAUUCUGAGGAGUAUGAAAAAAAAGGAAAGGGGUGUCGUAAGCAACAAAAAGGCAUAUGAAGCACCAAAACAAAAAUUUUAAAAAUUUUAAAAAGGGGAAUCAUCCUGGAGACCAAAACACGAUAGAAAGGUCUACCAGACAUCUGAGGAGUUCGGAAAAUCAAAGUACCCAAGGUUCAAAGACUAGGGAUGCACAGUUUUCAACACUCCAAAAGAAGAAAUCUACAACAAGGAGAAAGGAAGAACAAGGUUCCCUCAACCAGCAGAAUUAAACCCUGCAACAAAAGAGGCCCGAAUAAGGAGGAACAAAUACUGCAAGUUCUACAAGGACUACGGGCACAACACAGAAAACUACAUGGAACUAAGUGCUUUCCUAGAUACUCAAGUAAAGGAAGGAAAGCUAAAACAAUAUAUAAACAAAGUAGAAAGGGGGCGACAAGGUUGCAAGGACCCAAAUAACAAGGGUAAGCGACAACGCUCAAGGAGUCCUGACUCAGACACUGACCACAGGAGGAGAGUAAUAAAUUUAAUCUUCGGCGGAGGAUCAGUAGGAGAAAGCAGAAAUUACUCGCGAAAGGUAAUGCAGACUACUACAGUACCAAAAUCUAAGAAAAGGUCAUACCCAAGCGAGGGAAUAAGCUUCUCUGAGGAAGAUCUGGAUAAUGUGGUCAGCCCGCAUGAAGAUCCACUGGUAAUACAGGUGGACAUUGGGGAUGAUUUAAGUCUGAGUAAAAUAAUGGUGGACAAUGGCAGCUCAGUGGACAUACUGUACCUAGCUGCAUUUGAGAAAAUGGGCUACAAAGUGGAACAAUUAACCCCGGCCAAAGAAGCCAUAUACGGAUUCAUAAACACAAAUGCCCCAUUAGUAGGAGCCAUCGAUUUACAGAUAUCCCUAGGGAAAAGAAAUGGGAGAGUCUCACGCACGACACAUUUCAUUGUGGUCAACAUAGAUUCUCCGUUCAAUGGGAUCCUGGGCAGACCUAGCAUUCACGGUUUCAAAGCAAUACCGUCAUCUUACCACCAAUACUUCAGGUAUCCGGGAAAGGAUGGCAAAAUGGCAACAGUUUUCGGAGCACAAAAAGACUCCAGAAACUCGUACAGGAAGGCAACUAAAAUGGCCAAACCAAUAACCCUGUACAUCCAGGAAAGAGAUGAAGUAUAAGACACAACCUCAACUAAUCAAGUUGAGGAGGUCAAACUCUUAAAAGGAGGAAUCUUGAUAGGUACAUCCAUAUCAUCCGAGUUAAAAAAUUCAUUACUUUGUUUAUUAGAGACUCAUGUGCAUACAUUCGUAUGGGAGGGGGAAGCACCUUCACAGGUACAACGCACCAUAACAUGCCAUGAACUCAACAUAGACAACAGCUUUACUCCUAUACGGCAAAAGCGAAGGAUACUCGCAGCCGAAAGAAAGGAAGCAGCACAUGCGGAAAUCGAGAAGUUAAUCAAGGUUGGGCACAUUCGGGAAGUUAAGUACCCGAAAUGGCUAGCUAACCCAGUCAUGGUUAAAAAAUCCAAUGGGAAGUGGAGGAUGUGUGUAGAUUUCACAUACCUCAACAAAACAUGUCCAAAGGACAGCUAUCCACUCCCAUCCAUCGACAGAUUAGUAGAUGCGGCUUCAAGAAAUGAAUUGUUAUCUAUGAUGGAUGCGCAUUCAGGGUACAAUGAAAUUCUGAUGAAAGAAGAGGAUGAAGAAGCCACAUCAUUUAUCACAGAUUGGGGAACAUACUGCUACAAAGUCAUGCCCUUCGGACUACGAAACGCAGGAGCAACCUUCCAAAGGCUAAUGGAUAAGGUUUUCAAAAAGCAAGAAGGAAAAAAUGUCCUGGCGUACGUAGAUGAUAUUCUGGUAAAAUCCAAGAAAGCAGAUGAACACCCAAAUGAUCUAAAGGAAACUCUGGAAACUCUACAGAGUUAUGGGAUGAGGUUAAACCCCGCCAAAUGCAACUUUGGAGUACAAGAAGGAAAGUUUCUUGGAUUCUAUGUAGGGUAGAAGGGAAUAAAACCAAACCCAGAUAAAAUAACAACGAUAUUAGAAACAGCACCGCCUCGAACAAUAAAGGAAGUGCAGAAGCUGAAUGGAAAGAUCAACGCCUUAAGUCGGUUCAUUUCCAAAACAGCAGACAAGUGCAAACCCUUCUUCCAGUUGUUAAAAACUAGUCAAAAGGGGGCAGUAAUAUGGACUCAAGAGUGCGAUCAGGCAUUUCAACAGCUCAAGGCGCACUUGGCUUCACUACCACACCUAACUUCUCCAAAAGUAGGGGAGGAGUUAUAUGUCUAUGUAGCAGCUUCAGAGGAAGCCAUCAAUGCAGUCUUAAUAUGCCUAAGGGACAACGAACAAAUCCCAAUAUAUUAUCACUCCAAAAGGCUACAGGGGGCAGAAACACGAUAUCCUCCAAUGGAAAAUAUAGUCCUAGCAGUAGUACACGCAGCACGCAGAUUCCGAACAUACUUUCUGGCUCACACAAUCAAAGUCUUGACAGAACAUACACUGCGUAGAAUACUCCACGGGCCAGAUACUUCCGGAAGACUGACGAAGUGGGCUCUGGAGCUAAGCAAGUUUGAUGUAGAUUUUGUCCCCACCACUGCCAUCAAAGGGCAAGCCAUAGCGGACUUCAUUGUAGACAUGACCCAGGAAAGUAAGGAAAAACCUUGGAUAGUAGAGGUUGACGGCUCAAGCUGCAGUGCAGGUGCAAGAGUGGGAAUAAAAGUAAUCACUCUAGACCAAAGGAUAUAUGAACACUCUGUCAGAUUACAAUUCUCAACUACAAACAAUAUAGCAGAAUAUGAGGCUGUAAUCCAAGGCAUGAAAAUACUCAAAAGAUUGGGGGCUUGUUCAGUAAUUAUAAGAACAGAUUCUCAAUUAGUAGCUCGGAAAUUUACAGGGGUAUUCACAGUUAAAGAACCUCUGAUCAUGCAGUACGCAGCUACACUAGAAAAAAUAAAACUGCAGUUUCCUAAGGUGGUGGUAGAAUAGAUUCCAAGGAGUCAAGAUAACUCAGAAGAUGCCCUGGCAAAGCUAGCAUCCGCUUUCGAAGGGGGGGCAGAGAGAGAUACUGGUUGACUCAGCAUCUACACCUUCAUGCAAUCUGGUCACAAUACAUGCAGAAGAUUGGAGAAAACCCUUGAUAGAGUACUUCGAAGGGCAAAAACUCCCGGAAAACAAAAAUGAAAGACGUAAAUUACAAACACGCAUUCCAAGAUUCUGCCUAAUCGGUGACAUCUUGUACAAGAAAUCCUACGAUGGGCCUCUAAUGAAAUAUGUCUCAACAGAUGAAGGGCAAUUCAUUGUAGAGGAAAUACAUCAGGGGGUAUGCGGGAUACAUUAAGGGGGAAGGUCUCUGGCCCAAAGAAUAAUAAGGCAGGGAUACUUCUGGCCCACACUGAAGAAAGAUGCAGUCCUAUUUACAAGAAAAUUCAAGGCUUGCCAGAUACAUAAAAACAUACAAAGAAAUCCCGCGGGUAGAAAGCCUCAUCCCAUUCACAAUGUGGGGACUAGACAUUGUGGGACCAUUUCCGAUAUCAAUAAGCUAGGCUAAAUUCGUAUUCGUGGCUGUCGACUACUUUACAAAAUGGGCUGAGGCUCUGGCAGUACCCAAGAUAACACAAGGAGCGGCAACGAAGUUUGUCUUUAAGUGCAUAAUGUGCAGAUUCGGCGUUCCAAUGCACAUAGUGACCGAUAACGGGACACAGUUUACCGGUGGGGAGUUUACAAAUUGUGCGAGAACAUGGGCACUAGAAUCCACUUUUCAUCAGUAUACAAACCACAGGAUAAUGGGCAGGUAGAAGUCACAAACAGAGCCAUUGUUCAGGGACUGAAGAAAAAGAUCGAACAGGCCAAAGGUGCGUGGGCAGAUCUACUACCAGAGAUCCUGUGGGCGUAUAGAACUACUGAAAAGAUACCCACUGGGGAAACUCCGUUCUCACUAGCAUACACAAUGGAAGCACUAAUCCCAAUAGAGCUAAGAAUACCAACAGUCAGAGUCUUAUCCUAUUACAUGGAAGAAAACAUGAAAUCAUGCGCAACGACUCUGGACUUAGUUGAUGAGCUAAGGGAUAAUGCGCAGGCAAUGAAUGCGGCUUACAAACAGAAUAUCGUUAGAUAUCAUGAAAAGAACGUCAAGGAAAAAGCCAUAAGAAAAGGAAGUCUAGUGCUGAGAAGAGCAAGCAUCAAUCGAAAAGAUGGCUCCAAAAGCAAACUAGGUGCAAAUUGGGAAGGACCAUACGUGGUGGGGGAAGAACUCCGACCAGGCACGUACAGGUUAAAACAGGAAGAUGGAAUAUAUAUUCCCAACACCUGGCAUGCAGAUAAAUUACAGUUAUAUUUUUAACAAUAAAGUAGUUAUUUGUAUCAUUCAUUGUAACUGUUUGAGUUUGUAAUUAUUUGAAUUACCUAACUAGUACACGACUUAUUCAAAAUGUUCCAUAUAUUGAUUUUAAAACAAAGAAUACAAAAGGAACAUAAAAGAAAAAAGUAUUACAAAAGAGGGGGAGUAGAUGGUUUAUCGUUAAUAGGCUCCUCAGAAGUAACACCUAAGGAAGGAGGAGGAAGUGGUUCUUCAAUAUUAGGCUCCUCGGGGGUAACAUCUGUAGAGUUUACUACACUGUUGUUUUCUUGAUCAGCAAUAGAGAAGUCUUCAUCAGCAUCAGUGUCUUCAUCCGAAACUUCCCCAUCUUCCUCAGAUUCGGCAAGGGCCCGAUCUCGAAUCUCCGUAGCUUCUUUCGGAUGCUUACGAGCCUAGUUGUAGACAUUCUCAGCUUCAAAACAGGGCAUACGUGAGGGCCCAGAUCUACCAGAUCAUUAUAGUCUUGCAUAUUAGAAAGAAACUCAGCUUGGAUCUUGCCCAGAGCUUCCAUCACCCUCUGGUUUUCUUCAGUCUUUUCGGCCAGAAUAGUUUUCAACUUUUCAACUUCGGCCUCUUGAUCACUCAGCAGCUGGGAAAUCUCAUUAUUCUUCUUCUUCAGAGCUUCCUUCUCAACGGAUCCCUCGUUCAAUCGCUCAGUAAAGGUAUGAUUCUGAUCCAUCACUGAAUGAAGGGAUUCCUCAGUAGCUUCGAGUUGCUGAGUGAUCCCUGUAAUUAUAGCUUCUUUAAGGACAACCUUGGCUUGCUCAGUGUCUUGCACUUUCUAUAGCUUUGCGCUGAAUGACCCAGUCUUCAGCCAGCUUCUUAUUAGUUGCAGAAAGAGUAGACAUAUCCACGAUCUUUUGUUGGUAAGCAUCAUCUAAAUCCCGACACUUACGCUUGAGCUUCUUCAACUCGUCUUCCAGUGAAUGAUUAUCGCGAAGACGAGACAUCGAAAAGAGGCGACCCAUAAACAGAUGAGCAAGCUACAAGAAAGGAAGCAAAUAAGUACGAACCCAUCAUAAAACAUGAAGAUAAGAGUACUUACGUUGCUAAUGUUCUGACCAACUUCUUCAACGAAUCGGUCCAUCAGGUACCCAGAGAUAAUUCACAAAGUAGCCCGGACAACAUCCGUCUCAGGGACCAUCGGAAAUUUGGUUCCGUAAUUCCGAGGAUGGGAACCUUGGUAGCCAGGAAUCUGAGUCUCUCGGAUAGACGCAUAGGAGUGACGGCUCCGAGAGGACUCACCCUCAUAGUACCUCCGUCGAGGUGGAGAUCGUCGUCGGGAGGGGGAUUUCCUGGUCUUCUUUAAAGGAGGGGGAACAGAUUUGGAAGGAGGGGGUUUCCUUUUUCCAGAUCGUCCCUUGCCUUUAUCUUCCCCCCUCCCGCCCCUCUUACUGAACUCCCCAGAAUCUUUACCUUGCUCUUUUUCCGGUGAACGGAAGAAAGAAGUAAGAUUGGCAGCAGCAGCAGAUGGCACAGAAGGUGCUUCCUCAGUAGUUGGCUGCACAAGGGGAGUCUCCACAAUAUCAGGUUGGGUCUCUUCUUCGUUCAGAGGGUGAUCCUCAGAAAUAGGAGAAUCAGCCCGGUAAGCAUUCUCGGCGGCACGACGCCUCAAGUGUCGAGCAUCAGAAGGUUUGACGGAAGGCACAUAAACUUUUGUACCAGUCUCAUUCUGUCCCACGCGUUCAAGGACACCGCCAGGAUUGUGCAAAUAAAAAUCUGCAAAAAAGAGAGAAGAGUUAAUGAAUACACACACAAAUAUUAACUCAAAAACAAAAAGGGAAAACCUUCGCGGUUAAAAACAUCAUCUAUUGCGUGACCAAUGGGCACAGCGAUUUCGUGAAGAUUGGUCAAUCUUUGUAUAGAAUUUCCCUCGUCCAAGGUCAAAAUAGGACGGGGAGUGGGCCUACGAUCACUAUUGGAUGCAGGAAGAAGUCAGCUACUAGGACAUAGCCUGCAAUCCACAAAAAUAAACUCGCUCUUAUUCCGCCUAGAUGGAGGAUCCUUCAGAAGAGCAGAGUGUUGAACAGAGGAGGCACAGCUGGAACAGGCAAUAUAUAAAAGGGCUGCCCUUUUUCGGUUUUUGAAAGGUGAAGAAGUGGAAGAACAGCCGAGCCGUCGGAACUAUGCCAGCAUUCCUAAGGAUAUUUAUAAAGCCUCUGACAUAAAAGAAGAAGGUGGCACCCAUUUGAGAGAUGCACAACCCAGAAUACAAAAGAAUCUCACUAACCAAGGAAGGGAUCGGAAAGUUAGUGAAGUAGAUUCGGUGAAGUGCCAACAUAAAAUAAGGGGACACGUUACCCGUAACCUCGGUGGGGUAAGCCCAGAACACUCUCUCUCUAAGCUCUAGACUUCGUAAAAUUCUCCUAGCAGCAUCAAGGGAAAGGGUGUUAGAACAUCUAACCGAAUUGGAGGACAAAGGAUAGCCCGGAAUAUCAGUCAGAGAAACAGAGCAGAAAGAACCAUACCCGGUUCCAUACUCGCCCCGGUCUAGGAUAGGGACGACAUGGAAACCGUGUUGGAUCAGAACAGACCACUGACGCAAAGAAACAUCGAUCUCCCAGUAGAAAGAUGGAACGGCACUCUCUUCAAGGGGAGAGGGGAAGGGGUACUUUUCCUCCGUUUCUGGAGGAUAACCUACAGGAGAAUCCUCUAGUAUAUGGACAUUCUGAGGACAGACUUCAGGAGGAAGUCAAGAGGAAUCGUCUGAGGCUAGGGCAGACACUUUAAUAACAGGGUCACCCUCCGGAAGAGAAGCCAAAACAACGGCAGAAGGAGGAGUCCCUCCGAUUUCUACAUCCCGUCCGGGAGAGGAAGAGCUAUAGGAGGAGGACCCCGAACUCCUAGAAUGGGACGAGGAAGACCCUGAGCUAGAGGAACUUAAACUGGAGGAGGAAGCAAUAGGAGAGCCUACAACCAAAGAAAAAAAAUCAAAGUAAGCAUCCAAACAAAAACCUACCACUCGGAACAAACUUGCGCUUACGACGAGCGGUAAAACCUUUUGUCUUGGCCACUUUACCAGUAGCCUCUUUACCAGUAGCUUCCGGUUCAACCUCUGGCUCAGACACAACCUCAGAAAUGGUUUGUUCGAUCUCUUUGGGAAUAUCGUCUUGAAUAUCUUUAUCGGCAGACAUGAUCACAACCUACACAGAACACAAAACACUUCGGUUAAUUAAGUCAUUUUUGUAAAAAAGGUUGCAAAAAGUCGAUCCCAAGAGAAAGUCAAUCCAGACUUCAUAAAAGUCGAACCAAAGGAGUAAUGACUUCAAGGGACCAAACUCACAUCACAGUCUCGUAAAGUCGAUCCCAACAGACCCGAUCCAAAAAAGUCGAUGACAAAAGUCAGACUUCAGGAAGUCGAACAGGGAUCCAAGGGAGGGAACUUCGGGAAAGCAACUCCAAGUGUUGAAUCUCAGGAAGUCGAUCCCAAUAAUAGUGGACCCAAUAUUGAAAAGUCGACGAUUAGAAGUCGAACUCCACAAAGUCGGACCACAGUCCAAAGGGGGAACAACUUCUAUGAGGACCGACUCUAAGAAAAGUCGGACCCCAAGGAAGUCGGUCCCAGUGCAACUUCAGAAAAACCCGACCACAGAAGUCGGACCCCAGAAAGUUGCACCUCCAAGGCUGAAGUCGAAGCCUUAUGCGCGCUAAAAGUCGAAGCGAAAAAGUUGAAAAGUCGAAGCGAGAAAGUCGAUGCCUUAGAGCAGAAGAAAUAGGUGAAAAGCAAAUGACCUCCCCUCUGCUAUUUAUAGGGGAAAGUCGAAGACGAACCGUCGGGUGCACUGUUCACCCUGUGGGCCGAAAAGCCCACGGGCCCGGCAGGCCCAAGACGCCCGAGUCCGCGAAAAACCGAAAAUCUGACCAAAUGGCAUUGACAUUUUAGAACAAGAGUAUCGACAUUUAAUGAUUGGGUAUCAACAUCUCCCAAAAGAAGGCUAGGAUCGACAUCCCAUCAAGAUUCAGAUCGACAUCCUCAGAGGGGAAUAGACGUCGAUAUUUACCUUGGAAUCGACACCCUUCACAAGAGAAAGACAGAAUAGACAUUCUACAAAUACUCAGAUCGACAUCCUCAGAGGGGGAUAGACGUCGACAUUUACCUUGGAAUCGACACCCUUCACAAGAGAAGGACAGAAUCGACAUUCCACAAAUACUCAGAUAGACAUCCUCAGAGGGGGAUAGACGCCGACAUUUACAUUGGAAUCGACACCCUUCACAAGAGAAGGACAGAAUCGACAUUCCACAAAUACUCAGAUCGACAUCCUCAGAGGGGGAUAGACGUAGACAUUUACCUUGGAAUCGACACCCUUCACAAGAGAAGGACAGAAUCGACAUUCCACAAAUACUCAGAUCGACAUCCUCAGAGGGGGAUAGACGUCGACAUUAGAGUAUCAUUCACAGUUGACAUCGACAUCCUCAGAAAAGGAUAAGAUCAACCUUCAUACGACGUCGACAUCUUCAGAGAGAGAUGAGAUCGACUUCCAGUAUGAUCGUCAACAUCCUUAGAAAAGGAAAGAGUCAACCAUCACACGACAUCGAUAUCCUCAGGAAAAGACGAGAUCGACUUUUAUACGACGUCGACAUCUCCAAGGAGAGAUGGGAUCGACUUUCUGUAUAAACUUCGACAUCUUCAGAAAAGGAUGGCAUCGACCAACAGGAAGCAUCGACUUUAGGAAAUCGACAUUCUAAAAAAGUCGAUCGCCACAAAGGAAAUCCUUAGGAAAAAAGACGAAGUAUAUCCACAAACUAUACCGACGUACUUCAGAGUAAAGGUGUAAAACAAGUGAAAAAAAGGGAAAAUAUCUUUAUUCAGAAUUACAAGUAAAAAAAUGAAAAUAUUACAAGUCCCUAGUUAAAGUUAAUACGGCGACGCAAGCGACGAGGAACCUGACCUGGCGGAGAAACACCGCGUCGGGGACGCCUCCGGUGUCAACCACGAAGAGGGGCAGCAGGAGGAAGAUCGCCGACGGACCAUUCUUCAAAUAUUGAUUCCCUGACUGCAACAACAACACUCUGCCGCUCGACAAUAAUUUGGCGUAGAGCAGGAAGAUCCAAGGCCGAAGACCUAGGAUCCAAAAUAUUCAGAAUUCGAUCCAGCUCCUCAAUCUCUCCCUUAAUAAAAUCAGCAAAGAGACUCAUAAGAAGAGCCAUGGAUGAAGGAAAGGGAGGACCUAAAGGUCCUAUUUAUAGAGCCCAGGUCUACACAAAAGGACAAAAACAGAGUAAAACUGAUCAGAAGGACAACCCUUCCAAGAUCAGCACGAAAACUCGACUUUUUGGCCAAAACACUAGGAAUCGACUUUAAGCAAAAGAGUCAACACAAGAACCCAAGGGAUCGACUUUUCUAUAAAAGUUGAAGGGCAUCAUUCGGAUCGACUUUUGCAUAAAAGUCGAUUAAAACUACGGGGGAUCGACUUUUUCUCCCACAAGGGGGGGUGUAGAAAAAAGAACCCUGAUGUAUUGGAAUAUUGUGGAAGUUCGCCAAGGCAGGGGGUGUUGGAAAAACACUCCUGAGACCUUGAAAGUCACCAAGGCAGGGGGUGUAGGAAAAACACUCCUGAGACCUUGAAAGUCACCAAGGCAGGGGGUGUAGGCGAAAUACUCCUAAAAUAUCGUGGAAGCCCACCAAGGAAGAAUAACACCAAUGACGGUAUGGCAGCAGAAUGAACUAGGACACUCUAAGAUAUUUAAACUCCUACAAUUACUGGACGUAGUAACAAAGUAGGACGCCAAAUUAACCCUACCUACGGAAGAACGUAGGUGGAGAAAGUCUUAGUGGUAAUAGGGUCAGGACGCGUACCCCAUCCGAAAACACUCACCACAUCUACAAAAAAAAAACGUAAACAAAAGGGUGAGUAAAAACAAACCCCACCUACGGAAGAACGUAGGUAGACGGGGAACACGGCACAUACCCACCUACAAAGAACGUAGGCUAAAAGGGAAGUGUCUAAGAGUAGACUUCACCUACGGAAGAGCGUAGGUAGAUGGGGGAUGUGCUCAAAAGUGAACUUCACCUACGGAAGAAUGUGGGUAGACGAGGGACACAUCGGCAAAGUAUUAUUCUCUUCUACAAAGAACGUAGACAGGGGGAGAUAUACGCAAAAGUGAGCCUCACUUACGGAAGAACUUAAGUAGUCGAGGAACACACCGGCCAAAAGAACUUAACCUAAUCUACGGAAGAACGUGGAUAGAGAGGUAAGUAUUCAAAUAAACCUUACCUAUGGAAGAACAUAGGUAGACGAGGGGCCACACUCAACCUCAGCCGCGGAAGCAGCGAGGAGAAGGAGGGGGCAAGUAUUCAAAAAAUGGACCAGGGGAUGAAGUUAGGAGUUAUUGAAAAUCAAACCAGGGGAUGAAGUCGGAUGAAGCGGAGUCAUUUGAGGAGAACCUUCAGAGGUUGGAGAUAGGGAACGCCGUAUCCGGCUAGAGAUAACACAGGAGUUCAAAAAAGGAGUCGGUCGAAGGGCGACCGAGGAACACAUGGAGUGAGAAGCGAGGAAAAAAUACGCGAAAUCUAGGAGAUGUAUCCUUUGACCAAAUUUAAAGCUAGGAGGGGAGAUUUAACAAGGCAAUGCGUAUGGUUAAAUUAAACAAAGAGGCCCCACCUUUUAUAUUAAUACCUCAAGGGUAUGAGAACAUAGGAAAACAGUACAAGUACGAGGAAGAGCAGAAAUUUACAAAAUACAAGGAACAAACGACAAACGACAAACGAAAAACAAAGAUAGGGGCCCAUCAAGGCUUGGAGACACGAUGGCUUCAGUCGUGAAGGUUGGGCUUG
rnacentral:lncRNA from 1 species